rnacentral:lncRNA from 1 species
UCCGGAGCGUCGGUCUUCUUGCUGGAGAGCAUUCAGUGUCGGAUUUCCUACUAUGUAUCGUCCUUCUUUCAUUUGUGGUCCAUUGUUUUCUAUUGUUGGUUUACAGGUUUGGAAGGCAGCCAUGCUGCUAACCUGACUUUGUGUUGCACAAGAGCUUCACGUCGUCUGAAUGCGACGGUGUUACUGCCAUGGAGAUCGGUGUUGGGAUAGGUGAUGGCUUGCUAUGAAAUUUAGUGCAUGAGAAAAUUGACUUAUUGUUGUGCUUGUACAACUGUGUAAUUUUUCUGAUUUUUUAUUUGUUUUUGUGAAGGUCAAAAUGUUGUGUCCGAGAAGUUCAAGUAUGUUAGUUUAUAUUGUAUUAUUGAGAAGCUCCAACUUGUUGUAGGAGUGCAUUGAGAAACAGAGUGAAAAUAUCUAUAAAAAUGUAAGUUCGGGAGGAUUAAAAAGGAAAAGGAAGAAAGAAAAAGCUCACACUUUUGUCGUUGAUAUUUACAGUGACAAAUAAGUAACAAGUUCAUGUUUGUCGACCAUUGAAGUUCAUGUAUAUGGUAGUUGAUGAUUGUUGUGUGCACUUAGGGGAGCACAAAAAAAUGCGGCUGGCCAAGGUCCGUGGAUGUUGAACUUUCGUUCAGUGAGUGGCGUGUGUCUCAAAAACAAAUUGUGUUCACAAAAACAAAAACAAAAAAAGAUACAAAAAAGAGACAAACCCAAGUAUUUUCGUAGGGAAAAUAAUGACAAGUUCAAAUUGUUCAAAUAUGGAAGCUCAAAAAUGUUAAAAAUAAAUCCAAAAAUUUCUAGUACUCUCCUCCCACCUAUUUUGUCUGGAUAUAAAAAUAUAGACCCUCUCUCUUGAAAACAAAAAAAACUAAGGAAUUUCACACACAAACUUAUAUGAAAGACCUAGAUAUGCAUGAAAAAGAAAUAAAAUCGUAAGUGUUCAACUUAAAAAUAAACUCAUGAAACUCAUUAUCGGGACAAACACAUUGGUUUUAUUGUCCACAUUUAUAAAAUAAAUAAUACAUAGUAAAAAUGUUGAGAAGUUCAAAUUAAAUUAAUGGGGUAGUUCGAUGUUUAAAACAUCUCAAAUUUUUUUCAUUACUAAAUAACAAAAAGUGAGAAGUUCAAACAAAAAAUAGAGCAAAUUAAAAUUUAUAAAAAGGGAUUUUCACUUUUUGUAAAUAAAAAACUCUAGAGUUCAAAUUUAAAUUACAGACCGGUUCAAUAUUUAUUAGAAAAAUAGAAUGUUUCCGUUACUAAAAGAAAUUAUCCAAGAAAUACAAANNNNNNNNNNNNNNNNNNNNNNNNNNNNNNNNNNNNNNNNNNNNNNNNNNNNNNNNNNNNNNNNNNNNNNNNNNNNNNNNNNNNNNNNNNNNNNNNNNNNNNNNNNNNNNNNNNNNNNNNNNNNNNNNNNNNNNNNNNNNNNNNNNNNNNNNNNNNNNNNNNNNNNNNNNNNNNNNNNNNNNNNNNNNNNNNNNNNNNNNNNNNNNNNNNNNNNNNNNNNNNNNNNNNNNNNNNNNNNNNNNNNNNNNNNNNNNNNNNNNNNNNNNNNNNNNNNNNNNNNNNNNNNNNNNNNCUUCAAUUUUUAAAAGAUGUUUGAUGCUUAUUUAAAAACACUUUUUCCUAAUAAUAAAACUUAGAAGUUCAAAUUAAAAUAAUAGAGAAGUUCAAAGCUUAUAAAAAACUAAAAUAAAAUCUCAUUACGAAAGAAUAAAAUAAAGAAGUUCAAAAAAAGGAAGAACCAAAAAAUGUUUAAAUAGAAAUGUUUUGUUUAAAAAUAUAGAAGAAGUUCAAACUAAACUAACGAAGUGGCUUGAUGUUUAUUAAAUUAUCAACCAUGAAGUUCAAAAUUCAAAAAUAGUCAAAUUCGAUGUUUAUUAAAAAUAAGAAACAAUUCAUUACUCAAAAAUAAAAAAAUGUGAAGUUCAAAUUAAAAUAACAUAGAAGUUCAAAGUAUAUUAAAACCUAGGAUUCGCAAGUUUAAAAACAAAAAACCAACGUCAUUAUGGGCAUAUUUAAAAGACAUAGAAGAUAAAACAUGUUUAUUCCGAAAUCGAGCAGUUCAAAAAGUUUGUAGACAUGGAUUUGAUCCUUCUCUUUAAUAUCUAGAAGUUCAAAUUUAAAUAAGUGAGCGGUUAGAUGUUUAUUACAUAGCAAGGACUUUCUCUGUUACUAAUGAAUAACACCAAGAAGUCCUAAUUAAAAAUUGAAGUUGUUUGAUGUUUAUAAAAAUUUCAGAUUUCCACCGAUGCUAAAGAUUACAACCAAGAAGUUCACUUUUAAAAAACGGAGCAAUUCAAUGCAUAUAAAAAACCCAGGAUUCUCGUUAGUAAUGAAUAAAACCAAGAAUUUCAAUUGAAAAAACAGAGCAGUUUGAUAUUUAUUUAAACGAAUCAGAUUUUUCCACUUACUAAACAAUAAAACAAAUAAGUUCAAUUGGAAUAACAAAGAAGUUUGAUGUUCCUAAAAAACUCCAGUUUUCACAUUUCUAAAAAACACACAAAAUUCAAAUAAAAAAGUUAGAGCGGUUCGAUGUCUUUAAAAAACUCAUACUUUUUUGUUACUAAAGCAAAAUAGGGAGAAGUUCAAAUUGAAAACGGCCAGAAGUUCAUGUGCUGCAUGGUGUGUGUUUUCAUAUGAGAAAAUAGAAUAAAAAGUUAAAGUAUAAACACUGUUGGAAGUUCAGGUGCUCAGCACGGUGAAGUUCAAAAACUUCUUAUGAGAGAGGCAACCAACACUAUAUAUCAGUUGUGCAACUAUGAUGAACGGGUAAGAAAUUACGAACAAAAAAACAUGGUAGAAGUUCAAGUGUAAACAGCGGGAAGUGCGAUGAUUAUAGAAAACUUAGAUUUUUCCCGUUAUUAAAGAAUGAAAAAAAGAAGUUCAAAAAUGAAACAACAAGAAGUUUAACUUUUAAAAAUAGAGUGCUUCAAAAUUUCAUAAAAAGAUUAAAGAAAUAAAAUCAGGAACUCCACAUUAAAAGAUGAAGAAGUUCGAUGAUUAUAGAAAACUCAGAUUUUCCUCGUUAUUAAAGAUUGGAAACAAGAAGUUCAAAAAUAAAAAACAGGAAGUUCAACUUUUAAAAAUAGAGCGCUUCAAAAUUUUAUAAAAAAGGAUUAAGAAAUUCAGAUAAAUAUUUAUAAAAAACUCAGAUAUUUUCACAUAACCGAGAGAAGUUCGAUUGAUAACUGCCAGAAGUUCACGUACUACACGGUGUGCAUUUUGUAUUAAAAAGGAAUAAAAAGGCAAAGAGUAAAAGUUGUGUUGUUAUAAGUGCAACUCCUCGGUCAAAGAAAGUUAAAAAAAUUAUUGUGAGAGGGGUUUGUACAAAAGGAGUAUCAUUUGUGUAACACUGACAAAUGGAUGAGAAAAUUACAAACGAAAAUACGUCACAGAAGUUCAACGUGAAAAUAGCAUGAAGUUCAACUACUACGCUGAAUGAAUUUCAGAUGAAAAAGUUUUAAAACCAUCGCGAGUAUGAAAAAACGAUCAACACGGUAAAGUUAUGUGCUUACAACAGCUUUCUAAUGGUAUAUCACUUGCUCAAUUCCGAUGAGUUGAUGGAGAGUUACGAGCAGUGGAUGGAGACCUACAAGAAAAAAAAUCACAUGAAAAACAGAGUGAAGUUCAGGUACACGCGCCGAGAAGUUCAGGUUCUUCACGCGGUGCAUUUUCGAAGAAUCUGUUUCGCGAUAAAGGCAGAAUGAAUGAUCUCGCCGUUUUCGAAAUUACAGGAAAACGGCUAGGAAUUAGAGAAAACCAUCAACAUGGAAAAGUUUCACAUUUUCCGUAGCUUUUCAGAGGUAUAUUAUUUGCCUCAUUCCGAUAAAGUUUGUAGAAAUUAUGGGGAAAAUAUGUUUUUAUCCAUUUUCCAAAUUGACUUAAAACCGUAAGGAAUUAGGAGAAACAAUAUAUACAAAACAGUUUCGCAUUUGUUCAAGCUUUCCAACGCCAUAUCAUUUGCUGCAUUCGGACGCACGGUUAAGAAAUUAGCUCGAAAUUACGUACUCAGUAGGACUUUGACCAUUUUCUAAAUUACUCUUAAACCAUUCAAAAUUAGAAAAAAACUUUCAAGAUGAAAAAGUAGCACAUUUUCAUAAGCUUUCCAACGCCAUAUCAUAUGUCUCCAUUCGAUUAGCUGUUUAGAAACGACAUCGAAAAAACGAACUCAGUUGUUCGGUUUACGAAAUUUUAUGUUUUUCACAUUAUUCUUUAACCAUAGGGAAUUAGAGAAACCUUUCAACAUGUGGAAGGAGCAGUUUUGCAGCAGCUUUCCAAUGCCAUAUUAUAUGCCUCAUUCCGAUAAGCGGUUUAGAAAUGCGAUCAAAAAUACGAUUCACGUUUUUUGUGCGAAAAAAACGGUUUUCAAAACUGCUCUUAAACCGCUUAUAUUUUGCCAAAAAAUUUAAGUUGGGUCAUGAUAUUGGUGUCCAUAGCUUUCCAACGGUAUAUCGCAAGCCCCAUUUGGGCAAUGUUGGCGGAAGUUCAACCUAGUUCACAGGGAAGUUCAACGUACUACUAGCGGGGCAGGUCAGGUUGUGAUCAGAAUAUUAUUCUGAUCCCGUGAUCAGAAUAGUGUUUAUAUAUAUAUAUAUAUAUAUAUAUAUAUAUAUAUAUAUAUAUAUANNNNNNNNNNGUUGUUGGGGAGGAGAGGUGAAUCUAGCUAGCUAACUAAUGGAGAGGGGUGUUAUGGUAGAGGGGGGCAUUAAUGGGGGAGAGAAGAGAGGUGUAGGAGAAAGAGAGAGGCCAUUUAUGGAGGAGGGUGCUAUUAAUGAGGAGAAAAGAGAGGUAGUAGGAAGAGAAAAGAACAACAACAAUGGUGGAGAGUGGAGAGGGGAAAGGAGGGGGACAGAUGGCAAAGUGGGGGAGAGGAGGGGGAGGGGUGGAAAAGGUGGCACCAGCAGCAACUAGCAGUAGUGCUGCUUAGCAAAAAGUGAUGCUACUAUGGGACUUAGUAGUAGCGCUGUCCAGGAAAAGCGCUACUACUAAGUGGGGCCCAUUAGUAGUAGCGGCACAGUCAAAUCAAGCGCUACUACUAAACUAUUAGUAGUAACGCUUGUUUCUGUACAGCGCUACAACUCCAGCGACCGUUGGUGGCCUCAUCUGGUCCCACAUAGUAGUAGCGGGUUUUUGCUUCCCAGCGCUACUACUACAGAGUUACUAGUAGCGCCUGCCAGGUAAAGCGCUACUACUAAAUAGCAACAACGGUUACUAUUUUAUAGCUCUACUACUAUUGUACUGUGUAUAACAUUUUCCUAGCAGUGCAUACUCACAAUGUCUGGGUACCAUAAUCACUUCACUCAGCUAGGAGUUAAUCUUUUGGAUGAUAGUGUCAGUGAUAGAGUUCUUGAAUCACUGCCACCAAGCUAUAAAGGCUUCGUGAUGAACAAUAAUAUGCAAGGGAUGAACAAGACGAUUCCCGAGCUCUUCNNNNNNNNNNCUAUUAAUGAGGAGAAAAGAGAGGUAGUAGGAAGAGAAAAGAACAGCAACAAUGGUGGAGAGUGGAGAGGGGAAAGGAGGGGGACAGAUGGCAAAGUGGGGGAGAGGAGGGGGAGGGGUGGAAAAGGUGGCACCAGCAGCAACUAGCAGUAGCGCUGCUUAGCAAAAAGUGAUGCUACUAUGGGACUUAGUAGUAGCGCUGUCCAGGAAAAGCGCUACUACUAAGUGGGGCCCAUUAGUAGUAGCGGCACAGUCAAAUCAAGCGCUACUACUAAACUAUUAGUAGUAACGCUUGUUUCUGUACAGCGCUACAACUCCAGCGACCGUUGGUGGCCUCAUCUGGUCCCACAUAGUAGUAGCGGGUUUUUGCUUCCCAGCGCUACUACUACAGAGUUACUAGUAGCGCCUGCCAGGUAAAGCGCUACUACUAAAUAGCAACAACGGUUACUAUUUUAUAGCUCUACUACUAUUGUACUGUGUAUAACAUUUUCCUAGCAGUGCAUACUCACAAUGUCUGGGUACCAUAAUCACUUCACUCAGCUAGGAGUUAAUCUUUUGGAUGAUAGUGUCAGUGAUAGAGUUCUUGAAUCACUGCCACCAAGCUAUAAAGGCUUCGUGAUGAACAAUAAUAUGCAAGGGAUGAACAAGACGAUUCCCGAGCUCUUCACAAUACUUAAGGUUGUGGAGGUAGAAAUCAAGAAGGAGCAACGAGUGUUGAUAGUUAACAAGACCACUAGUUUCAAGAAAAAGGGCAAAGGAAAGAAGGGGAACUUCAAGAAUAAUGGCAAGAAAGUUGCUACUCCCGAGAAGAAGCCCAAGUCUGGACCAGAGCCUAAAACUGAGUGCUUCUACUGCAAAGGGACUGGUCACUUGAAGCGGAACUGCCCCAAGUAUUUGGCGGAUAAGAAGGAUGGCAAAGUGAAGAAAGGUAUAUUUGAUAUACAUGUUAUUGAUGUGUACCUUACUAAUGCUCGUAGUAGCGCCUGGGUAUUUGAUACUGGUUCUGUUGCUCAUAUUUGCAACUCGAAAUAGGGGCUAUGGAUUAAACAAAGAUUGGCUAAGGACGAGGUGACGAUGCACGUCGGAAAUGGUUCCAAGGUCGAUGUGAUCACCAUCGGCACGCUACUUCUACAUCUACCUUCGGGAUUAAUUUUAAACCUAAAUAAUUGUUAUUUGGUGCCAGCGUUGAGCAUGAACAUUAUAUUUGGAUCUUGUUGAUGCGGGACGAUUAUUCAUUUAAAUAAAAGAAUAAUGGUUGUUCUAUUUAUAUGAGUAAUAUCUUUUAUGGUCAUGCGCCCUUGAAGAGUGGUCUAUUUCGUUGAAUCUCGGUCGUAGUGAUACACAUAUUCAUAAUAUUGAUGCCAAAAGAUGCAAAGUUGAUAAUGAUAGAGCAACUAGACAUUUGUGGCACUGCUGUUUAGGUCAUAUUGGUGUAAAGCGCAUGAAGAAACUCCAUGCGGAUGGACUUUUGGAAUCACUUGAUUAUGAAUCAUUUCAUGCUUGCCAACCAUGCCUCAUGGGCAAGAUGACUAAGACUCAGUUCUCCGGAACAAUGGAGCGAGCAACUAACUUAUUGGAAAUAAUACAUACUGAUGUAUGUGGUUCCAUCAGUGUUGAGGCUCGCAGUCGGUAUCAUUAUGUUCUGACUUUCACAAAUGAUUUGAGUAGAUAUGGUAUAUCAACUUAAUGAAACACAAGUGUGAAACAUUUGAAAAGUUCAAAGAAUUUCAAAGUGAAGUAGAAAAUCAUCAUAACAAGAAAAUAAGGUUUCUAUGAUCUGAUCGCGGAGGCGAAUAUUUGAGUUACGAGUUUGGUCUUCAUUUAAAACAAUGUGGAAUAGUUUCGCAACUCACGCCACCUGGAACACCACAGCAUAAUGGUGUGUCCAAACGUCAUAACCGUAAUUUAUUAGAUAUGGUGCGAUCUAUGAUGUCUCUUACCAAUUUACCACUAUUGUUUUGGGGUUAUGCAUUAGAGACAGUGUCGGUGUAUGAUAACCCACAAGUAUAGGGGAUCGCAACAGUUUUCGAGGGUAGAGUAUUCAACCCAAAUUUAUUGAUUCGACACAAGGGGAGCCAAAGAAUAUUCUCAAGUAUUAGCAGCUGAGUUGUAAAUUCAACCACACCUGGAAACUUAACAUCUGCAGAGAAGUAUUUAGUAGCAAAGUAAUAUGAUAGUAGUGGUAACGGUAGCAAAAGGUAACGGUAACAAAAGUAAUAUUUUUGGUGUUUUGUAGUGAUGAUAACAAUAGCAACAGAAAAGUAAUUAAGCGAAGAACAAUAUAUGGAAAGACCGUAGGCAAUGGAUCGGUGAUAGAGAAUUAUGCCAGAUGUGGUUCAUCAUGUAACAGUCAUAACCUAGGGUGACACAGAACUAGCUCCAAUUCAUCAAUGUAAUGUAGGCAUGUAUUCCGAAUAGUCAUACGUGCUUACGGGAAAGAACUUGCAUGACAUCUUUUGUCCUACCCUCCCAUGGCAGCGGGGUCCGAGUGGAAACAAAGGGAUAUUAAGGCCUCCUUUUAAUAGAGUAUCUGACCAAAGUGUUAACACAUAGUGAAUACAUGAACUCCUCAAACUACGGUCAUCACCAGGAGUGGUCCCGAUUAUUGUCACUUCGGGGUUGCUGGAUCAUAACACAUAGUAGGUGAUCAUAGACUUGUGAGAUAGGAUCAAGAACUCACAUAUAUUCAUGAAAACAUAAUAAGUUCAGAUCUGAAAUCAUGGCAAUCGGGCCCUAAUGACAAGCAUUAAGCAUAGCAAAGUCAUAGCAACAUCAAUCUCAGAACAAAGUGGAUACUAGGGAUCAAACCCUACCAAAACUAACUCGAUUGCAUGAUAAAUCUCAUCCAACCCAUCAGCGUCCAGCAAGCCUACAAUGGAAUUACUCACGCACGGAAAUUGGUGAUGGAGGAAGGUUGAUGAUGACGAUGGCGACGGAUUCCCCUCUCCGGAGCCCCGAAUGGACUCCAGAUCAGCCCUCCCGAGAGAGUUUAGGGCUUGGCGGUGGCUCCGUAUUGUAAAACGCGAUGAAUCCUUCUUCUUUAUUUUUUCUCCCCGAACACGAAUAUAUGGAGUCAAGAUGGACGUUGGUGGAGCUCAAGGGGGCCCACGAGGCAGGGGGCGCGCCCAGGGGGGCAGGCGUGCCCCCACCCUCGUGGCUAUGGUGUGGGCCCCCUGGCCUUGAUUCUUUGCCAGUAUUUUUUAUUAUUUCCAAAAAUAAUCUCCGUGGAGUUUCAGGUCAUUCCGAGAAUUUUUUCUGCACAUAAAUAACACCAUGGCAAUUUUGCUGAAGACAGUGUCGGUCCGGGUAUUUCCAUUCAAAUCAAAGCAAGUUAGAGUCCAAAACAAGGGCAAAAGUGUUUGGAAAAGUAGAUACGACAGAGACGUAUCAACUCCCCCAAGCUUAAACCUUUGCUUGUCCUCAAUCAAUUCAGUUGACAAGCUGAAAGUGAUAGAGAAAAACUUUUACAAACUCUGUUUGCUCUUGUUGUUGUAAAUAUGUAAAGCCAACAUUCAAGUUUUUAGCAAAGAUUAUGAACUAACCAUAUUCACAAUAACUCUUAGGUCUCAUGUUUACUCAUAUCAAUAGCAUAGUCAACUAGCGAGCAAUAAUAAUAAAUCUUAGAUGACAACACUUCCUCAAAACAAUCAUAAUAUGAUAUAACAAGAUGGUAUCUCGCUAGCCCUUUCUGAGACUGCAAAACAUAAAUGUAGAGCACCUUUAAAGAUCAAGGACUGACUAGACAUUGUAAUUCAUUCUAAAAGAGAUGCAGUCAAGUCAUACUCAAUGUAAACUAACAGUAAUGAAUUCAAAUGACAGUGGUGCUCUCCAACUGGUGCUUUUUAAUAAGAGGAUGAUGACUCAACAUAAAAGUAAAUAGAUAGGCCCUUCGCAGAGGGAAGUAGGGAUUUGUAGAGGUGCCAGAGCUCGAUUUUGAAAUAGAGAUGAAUAAUAUUUUGAGCGGUAUACUUUCAUUGUCAACAUAACAACCAAGAGAUGGCGAUAUCUUCCAUGCUACACACAUAAUAGGCGGUUCCCAAACAGAAUGGUAAAGUUUAUACUCCCCCUCCACCAACAAGCAUCAAUCCAUGGCUUGCUCGAAACAAUGAGUGCCUCCAACUAACAAGAGUCUCGGGGGAGUUUUGUUUGUAGUUAUUUUGAUUUUAUUUGCAUAAAGCAUGGGACUGGGCAUCCCGGUGACCAGCCAUUUUCUCGUGAGUGAGGAGCGGAGUCCACUCCUCUUGAGAAUAAUACACCUAACAUGGAAGAUACGGAUACAUGAGCUAUUCGAGCAUACAAAACAUGAUAUUUAUUUGAAGGUUUAGAGUUUGGCACAUACAAAUUUACUUGGAACAGCAGGUAGAUACCGCAUAUAGGUAGGUAUGGUGGACUCAUAUGGAGCAACUUUGGGAUUUAUGGGAUUGGAUGCACAAGCAGUAUUCUUGCUUAGUACAGGUGAAGGCUAGAAAAAGACUGGGAAGCGACCAACUAGAGAGCGACAACAGCCAUGAACAUGCAUUAAAAUUAAUCAACAUCGAAUGCAAGCAUGAGUAGGAUAUAAUGCACCAUGAACAUAAAUAUCGUAGAGGCUAUGUUGAUUUUGUUUAAACUACAUGCAUGAACAUGUGCCAAGUCAAGCCACUCGAAUCGUUCAAAAGAGGAGACCACCCUAUCAUACCACAUCACAACCAUUUUAAUAGCAUGUUGGCACGCAAGGUAAACCAUUAUAAGCUCCUAGCUAAUUAAGCAUGGCAUAAGCAACUAUAAUCUCUAAUUGUCAUUGCAAACAUGUUCAUUCAUAAUAGGCUGAAUCAGGAACGAUGAACUAAUCAUAUUUACAAAAACAAGAGAGGUCGAGUUCAUACCAGCUUCUCCCAUCUCAAUCAGUCCAUCAUAUAUCGUCAUAAUUGCCUUUCACUUGCACGACCGAAUGAUGUGAGUAAUAAUAAUAGUGCACGAGCAUUGUACUAAGCUGGAAUCUGCAAGCAUUCAAUAAACAGGAGAAGACAAGGCAAUAUGGACUCUUUUGUUAGAUCAACAAUAAUGCAUAUAGGAGUCACACCAACAAUUUAAUCAUGGUCUUCUCCUAUCGACCCCCAAAGAAAAGAAAUAAAACUAUUUACACGGGAGAGCUCCCAACAAGCAUAAGAAGAACAGGAAAUAUUUUUGGGUGUUGUUUUUAAUUACUACUACAAGCAUAGAAAAUAAAGCUAGCUAAAAGCUACAACUAAUUUUUUUGUUUUUCUUAAGGUUUAUCAAACACACAAGAAGAAAGCAUAAAAAGGAAAUAAACUAGCAUGGAUAUUACAAUGAAAAAGUAUGAGCACCGACAUCUAGCAAUGAGUGUGUGAACAAGAAUGUAAUGUCGGUGAGAAGUACACACUCCCCUAAGCUUAGGCUUUUGGCCUAAGUUGGUCUAUGGCCACGGUUGGCCUGGCGGAUAUCCAAAUUAAUAGUUGGGGUCGUACCGCGAUGAAGCCUCGGCUUUCCACUGGUUGGCAAUCACCUCCGGAUCCUACUGGUAAUCAGACUGUCGUGGAGGCUCAAAUUGUGGUUCGGGUUCUGGCUCUGCAGCUGAUGUAGGGUUCCGGUAGGCGUGAAUGGCCUCCAACAGAACAAGGUACUUGCCUGCAGAUAAAUCAAACAAGGAAGGAGCAGGCAGGGUAAUAGUCUUGGGAUGAUGUUUAUCAAAGAACAAUUUGUAUUUAAGCUCAUUUUCUCUAUUCUUAACAGUAAAAUCAUGUGCUACCAUACUCUUAUAAUCUAAAUAAACAGGAGGCAGCAAUUUUUCUUCCUUCUCAUAAUGCCUAAUAGGUAUGUUAAAAUGUGUAGCUAGGCGCGAGGCGAAGAUGCCUCCAAAGACGGGGCCCUUAGUACGGUUAAGAUUUAACCGCUUUGCAAUAAUAGCACCCAUGCUAAAUGUAUCAUCACGAAAUAAGGCAUGGCACAAAAUAACAAUAUCAGGGGCACUCAGGUUUCCACAGUUUUCGCGCCCAAUUAAGCAUCUACUAGCAAGUAUAGCAAAGUAACGUAGAACGGGAAAGUGUAUGCUAGUAGUUCGUGCAUCGGAAACCUUCCUUGUUUCCCCUACAGUGAUGGUAUCAAUAAACCCAUCCACAUCGUCAUGAUGUGGUUCCUCUAUGAUGCCCUCGAGAGGGAUCAAACAAACCCGACAAAAAUCACGAAGUGACAUCUCCUUAUGCUCAUUAUAUAAAUAAAACUCCACUGUAGGUGGUGAGUUCCUAGCAUGGAAAUGAAAGUUUUGCACAAAGAUAUUGGUGCAUAAGAGAUACUGUUCACGUUGGUCGUGGAGGAAGGCGGUGAGGCCUGCAUUCUCAGCCAUUCAUAGAAAUCAUCAUAAAUCCUGGCUGCUCUCAAGAAAUCAUCACAAGGCCAUUCACACGGCCGUACCUCCGUAGUGCGAGGGAGAUUAUACUUGGGUCUCUUAUCCUCCUCACUUUGCUUAUCCUUCGAGCUUCGGCCCGAUGAGCCCCUCAAAAAUCUCUUCAUUAUUUUCUAAAAAAAUCUGAAAUUUCUAGUAACUUCAAAAUAAAAGUGAACCAAACUCAACAAAAUUGAUAGCAACUACUCCUACAAGUGCCUAGAGCCUAUAUCAUGCAUUAGAACUACUUGGAACCAUAUAAAUUUUACAUGCAAGCUCAAGAACGUGGUCACCUAGGCAGCACAAAUUUGCAAUGAAUAAAGCACUAGAACAAAAACUAAUUGGACCAAUGGAGGAGUCACAUACCAAGGAACAAUCCCCCAAAGCAGUUUUGCGAGAAGUGCUUUGAGCAAGGAGAUCGAAAAUCACAGCAAAAUGAGCUAGAACUCGUGCUUGAGCUGGAUAGUGGUGUUUGUGGGAGGAAGAAGGAGUGUGUGGGUGCAGGGAUAAGUGGAGGGGAGCCACCAUGGGCCCACGAGGCAGGGGGCGCACCCAGGGGGGUGGGCGCGCCGUGGACCCUCGUGGCCAGGUGCUUGCUCCCCCUGUUGUGUUCUGAGUGCCAGAUAUUCUCAAAUAUUCCAGAAAAAAUCAUAUUAAACUGGCAGGGCAUUUGGAGAACUUUUUUUUCGUGGUAUUUUUAUAUUGCAUGGAUAAUCAGAAAAUAGACAGAAAUUACUAUUUUUGCUUUAUUUAAUAUAAAUAACAGAAAGUAAAAAGAGGGUACAGAGAGUUGUGUUAUCUAAAUUCAUCCAUCUCAUGCUCAUCAAAAGGAAUCCACUAACAAGGUUGAUCAAGUCCUGUUAACAAACUCAUUCCGAGUAACAUGGAACCGGAGAAUUUUCGAAUUACACUAGGUUACCUCAACGGGGAUAUGCACAUCCCCAACAAUAAGAAUAUCAUAUUUCUUCUUGACAGUACGAAGAGGAAAUUCAAAACCUCCAAAAAUAAUCGAUGGAAUUUUUCCGAUAGAGUUUAUACUGUGGACUUGAGGUUGUUUCCUUGGAAAGUGUACCGUAUGCUCAUUACCAUUAACAUGAAAAGUGACAUUGCCUUUGGUGCAAUCAAUAACAGACCCUAUAGUAUUCAAAAAGGGUCUUCCAAGAAUAAUAGACAUACUAUCGUCCUCGGGAAUAUCAAGAAUAACAAAGUCCAUUAAAAUAGUAACGUUUGCAACCACAACAGGCACAUCCUCACAAAUACCGACAGGUAUAGCAGUUGAUUUAUCAGCCAUUUGCAACGAUAUUUCAGUAGGUGUUAACUUAUUCAAAUCAAGUCUAUGAUAUAAAGAGAGAGGCAUAACACUAACACCGGCCCCAAGAUCACAUAAAGCAGUUUUAACAUAGUUUCUUUUAAUGGAGCAUGGUAUAGUGGGUACUCCUAGAUCUCCUAACUUCUUAGGUAUUCCACCCUUAAAAGUAUAAUUAGCAAGCAUGGUGGAAAUCUCAGCUUCCGGUAUCUUUCUUUGAUUAGUGACAAUUUCUUUCAUAUACUUAGCAUAAGGAUUCAUUUUAAGCAUAUCAGUCAAACACAUACGCAAAAAGAUAGGUCUAAUCAUUUCGGCAAAGCGCUCAAAAUCCUCAUCAUCCCUUUUCUUGGAUGGCUUAGGAGGAAAAGGCAGAGGUUUCUGAACCCAUGGUUCUCUUUCUUUACCAUUCUUCAUAGCAACAAAGUCUCUUUUAUCAUAAGUUGAUUCUUUGAUUGUGGGUUAUCAAGAUCAACAGCAGGUUCAAUCUCUACAUCAUUAUCAUUGCUAGGUUGAGCAUCAACAUGAACAUUAUCAUUAACAUUAUCACUAGUUUCAUGUUCAUUACCAUAUUGUGUUUUAGCAUUAGAAAUUGAAAUAUCAUUGGGAUUCUCAGGUGGUUCAGCAAUAGGUUCACUAGAAGCAUGCACAGUCGUAUCAUUUUUCUGUUUCUUCCUUUUAGAUGGACUAGGUGCAUCAAUAUUAUUUCUCUGAGAAUCUUGCUCAAUUCUCUUAGGAUGGCCUUCAGGAUACAAAGGUUCCUGAGUCAUUUUACCAGUUCUAGUAGCCACUCUAACAGCAUAGUCAUUAUUCUUACUAUUCAAUUCAUUGAGCAAAUCAUUUUGACCUUUAAGUACUUGUUCUACUUGAGUGGUAACCAUAGAAGCAUGUUUACUAAUGAUUUUAAGUUCACCUUUAACUCUAGACAUAUAAUCAACUAAGUGUUCAAUCAUUUAAGCAUUUUGUUUCAAUUGUCUACCAAAAUAAGCAUUGAAGUCUUCUUGCUUAACCAUAAAGUUAUCAAACUCAUCCAAACAUUGGCUAGAAAACUUAGUAGGAGGGAUUUCAGCUUUAUCAUAUCUAUAGAGAGAAUUUACCUUUACUACCUGUGUCGGGAUGUCAAGACCAUGUGUUUCUUUAAUAGGUGAUGGACUAAAACCAUAUAUUUCUUCAACAGGCAGUCAAUUAAGACCAUGUAUUUCUUCAAUAGGAGGUAAAUUCUUAACAUCUUCAGCUUUAAUACCCUUUUCUUUCAUGGAUUUAUUUGCCUCUUGCAUAUCUUCAGGACUGAUAAAUAGAACACCUCUUUUCUUCGGAGUUGGUUUAGGAAUAGGCUCAGGAGUUGGCUCAGGAGCUAGCUCAGGAAGUGUCCAAUUAUUUUCAUUUGUCAACAUAUUAUUCAAUAGAAUUUUAGCUUCAUCCGGUGUUCUUUCCCUGAAAACAAAACCAGCACAACUAUCCAGGUAAUCUCUGGAAGCAUCUGUUAGUCCAUUAUAAAAGAUAUCAAGUAUUUCAUUUUUCUUAAGAGGGUGAUCAGGCAAAUCAUUAAGUAAUUGGAGAAGCCUCCCCCAAGCUUGUGGGAGACUCUCUUCUUCAAUUUGCACAAAAUUAUAUAUAUCCCGUAAGGCAGCUUGUUUAUUAUGAGCAGGGAAAUAUUUAGCAGAGAAGUAAUAAAUCAUAUCCUGGGGACUACACACACAACCAGGAUCAAGAGAAUUAAACCAUAUCUUAGCAUCACUCUUUAAUGAGAACGGAAAUAUUUCAAGGAUAUAAAAGUAGCGAGUUCUCUCAUCAUUAGUGAACAGGGUGGCUAUAUCAUUUAAUUUAGUAAGAUGUGCCACAAUAGUUUCAGAUUCAUAGCCAUAAAAAGGAUCAGAUUCAACCAAAGUAAUUAUAUCAGGAUCAAUAGAGAAUUCAUAAUCCUUAUCAGUAACAAAGAUAGGUGAAGUAGCAUAAGCAGGAUCAUAUUUCAUUCUAGCAUUCAGAGCUUUUUGUUUAAGCUUAGCUAAUAAUUUCUUAAGAUCACUUCUAUCAUUGCAAGCAAGAAAAUCUCUUUCAGUUUCUUCAUCCAUAACAUAGCCCUCAGGCACAACAGGCAAUUAAUAUUUAUUAAGAGAGCCUUCAUCAUCAUUUUCAUCAAUAUUAUCAGUUUCAAUAAUUUCAUUCUCUAUAGCCCAAUCAAGUUGUUCAUCAAGAAGUUCACCAAGUGGCACAGUACUAUCAAGCAUAGAAGUACUUUCAUCAUAAGUAUCAUGUGUAGCAUAAGUGGCAUCAUCAAUAAUAUGCGACAUAUCAGAAUUAAUAGCAGAAGAAGGUUUAGGUGUCGCAAGCUUACUCAAAACAGAAGGUGAAUCAAUUGCAGAGCUAGAUGGCAGUUCCUUACCUCCCCUCGUAGUUGAGGGAUAAAUCUUGGUUUUUGGAUCUCUGAAGUUCUUCAUAAUGAUAAGCAGAUAUAAAUCCCAAGUGACUCAAAGAAUAGAGCUAUGCUCCCUGGCAACGGCGCCAGAAAAUGGUCUUGAUAACCCACAAGUAUAGGGGAUCGCAACAGUUUUCGAGGGUAGAGUAUUCAAACCAAAUUUAUUGAUUCGACACAAGGGGAGCCAAAGAAUAUUCUCAAGUAUUAGCAGCUGAGUUGUCAAUUCAACCACACCUAGAAACUUAAUAUCUGCAGCAAAGUAUUUAGUACCAAAGUAAUAUGAUAGUAGUGGUAACGGUAGCAAAAGGUAACGGUAACAAAAGUAAUAUUUUCGGUGUGUUGUAGUGAUGAUAACAAUAGCAACGGAAAAGUAAAUAAGCGAAGAACAAUAUAUGGAAAGCUUGUAGGCAAUGGAUCGGUGAUAGAGAAUUAUGCCGGAUGUGGUUCAUCAUGUAACAGUCAUAACCUAGGGUGACACAGAACUAGCUCCAAUUCAUCAAUGUAAUGUAGGCAUGUAUCCGAAUAUAGUCAUACGUGCUUAUGGAAAAGAACUUGCAUGACAUCUUUUGUCCUACCCUCCCGUAGCAGCGGGGUCCUAGUGGAAACUAAGGGAUAUUAAGGCCUCCUUUUAAUAGAGUACUGGAGAAAAGCAUUAACACAUAGUGAAUACAUGAACUCCUCAAACUACGGUCAUCACCGGACUGCCUGUAGGUUCGUUGAGCCAAACUGGUCGAUGUCGAGUCUAGAAAUGCUCUAGUUAUAUGUAGGGGAAUUGAUUGAGGGAGGGAACGUAAGGUUCUUUUACUCCUUUACCUAUCCCGCUGAUCUGAGUCAUUCUCUCCUCAUUCAACGUGGGUUAAGGACUAGGCUCUCUUCCUCUAUCAGGUUCACGUGUUACUAAUCCGUUGUAGCUUAUAGGAUUGUUGUUACAAGUCCCAGUUCAGUUUCUACUAUUCUUAGUAUGUUGCUAAUUGAAUCAGAACCUUGAUAUGAUGUUGUUGAGUGGUAUUGUGAACUGUUGUGGAUGUCUCAAAUCUUUUUCUGAGCAUUUACAGCCGUUAUGCUCUCCAAUUUUCCCUAGAAAUUCUGAUGUCUUUGUCUUGUGGUUGUGCUUUCAGAUGGCCAACCGCGUUCAUAACCAAGUGGUUCGCCUGACCCGGUGCCUCGACGUGCCCGGUCAUACUGCUAUGUUAGUCCGGGUCAUGAUCGAGACGGGUUACCAUUGGUAUCCCGAAUACACCGUCGAAGAGAAGUUCCGCGACUUUAACCAAAGCCAGUAUUUCUACACCGUCAGGAUAUUUCCUUCUUAUCCUGGAUCUACCGAGCCCCUUCACUGUUCCUAUGGACUCGGGGUUACCGUUGAGAUGGCUGUGCAGGAUGCUGCCUAUUCCAUGAUGACCAUCAUGCGAGUUCGGACUGGCCUGCUUCGGAACACCGACUUUCGUUACAUGCCAGCUUCACUUCCGGGAGCGCAAGGGUAUCUUCAGGCCAUCUAUGCUGACUCCACUCAGGAGGACUCAUUAACUCGUACCACUGCCGAGAUGCUCGAAGAUAAGGACCGAGAGAAUCGGGCCUUGAGGUUGGAGCUUUUCAAUACCCGUGCUGAUCAUUGGGCCACAUUGACUCGGUUUGCACCUGCGGUGCAAGCUGGAUGUAUGGAUACAAGGGACCUGUAUCUUGUGAGAUAAGCUCUGCCAGACAUGGUGGAUUGGCGUGAUGUGGGAGGCGUCACCCCACCCGUGGUCCCCGCAGGCCACCGUUUGUUGGUCCAAGACCUCAUCCUAGCCCCUAUGGUCCACAGGCUCCUCAGGACUGUCUGUUCCCGGAUGGUCAUGUUGAACUUCCAGGCUAUGGAGGUGACUUCUAUGAGAACUACUACGGAGUUGUCUGAGUUAGUAGUAGUAUCAUUAGUAAUGUAGUAGUUGUAUCUCCACCAUCCUGCGAGACUUGUGGAAUAUGACUUUGUGUGUAAUCAAAUCCGGAGGUGUAGGCAAAUAAUGUAUAGGAGCUUGGAAUGCCUCCGAUGAGACGUAAUGUCUUUCAUCAUAGUUGUACUGUAGCCUGGGCUUGUACUAAACUAUGUAUGAUGUGUAUGACCGUUGGUAUAUAUAUAUGGCAGUUUUAUAUUACCAUGACAUACGGAUGAACAUCUCUGCAUUCCGUGUUAUCCAUUACAUUCUGCACUUCCUUGCUAAGUUUGAGCCAUCCUUAUCUAAACCAUUGUCUUGUUUUCUCCUAGGAUGGUCAACACCCGCAGCAACCCUGUUUCCUCGAAGCAGGGGGAAGCCAGUGCAGCUAGGGGUGAAAAUCUGCCUCACCCGCCUUCUCUGGCCGAAGUAAUGCUAGAGGCGGAAAGAAACAAGCGUGAGACUAACCGCCUACUGGAGCGGAUUGAGCAGAACACUGCACGCCACCCGCGAAAUGAUUUGGUGUCAAUCAAUGACUUUAUCAAGCUGUACCCACCAAAGUUUAACCAGUCCGUCGAGCCCCUCGACGCGGAUGACUGGCUUCGCAGCAUCACCCACAAGCUACGUUCUGCCAACGUAGCCGAAGCUGACAAGGUUACCUAUGCUGCCUAUCACCUCGAAGGCCCUGCUAGCCUUUGGUGGGAAAACUUCGAAGCUAUGCGGCCCGUCGGCCAAAUCACUACUUGGGUUGAAUUCAGUGAGGCUUUCCAUGAGCAUCACAUUCCGGAAGGUCUCAUGGAUCGCAAGAGGGAGGAAUUCUGCAACUUCACCCAAGGAAGACUGACUGUGGAUUCUUAUAGUCGUGAAUUUGGGAAUCUGGCACGUUAUGCUCCUGAAGAGGUAUCUACUGACGCUAAGAAGCAGGCAAGGUUCCGCAAGGGACUUAGCCCUGAGCUUCGCCGCGAUCUCCGUCUGCACGAGUGCACAUCCUUUCAGAAGUUGGUCAAUAAAGCCAUCAGUGCUGAGACGGGCCAGACUGAUUAUGAUGCUUCACGCAAGCACUCCCGUGAUUUUGGCUCUUCAUCCGGCUCUGGAACUCAGAAGCGCCGGGUGUGGAUUCCAAGCACGGCACUGCCACCCAGGUUCAUCCCGAGGCCAUCCUUUGAGGCGCCUCGUCCCAACCAACAAUUUGCACCACCCAAGCCCUAUGGUGGCCCCGCUGCUAAUGCUGCUCCACGCCCCAAUGUGGUGACAUGCUUCAAGUGUGGAGAGCCAGGUCACUAUAGCCGAGAGUGUCCCAAGAACAACAACCCCAAUCAAACUGGAAAGUCCGUUGGCCGUGGUAAGCCAGCAGGGAAGACUUUCUACGCCAAGCCGGCCACCACUACACGUGGCCAUGUCAAUUAUGUUUCAGCCGAGGAGGCUCAUGAGGAUCCUAACGUCGUCCUUGGUACGCUCCUUGUUAACUGCCAUCCAGCAUCUGUUCUUUUUGAUACUGGAGCAUCUCAUUCAUUCAUAUCCGAGAACUAUGCUCGAUUGCAUAACACGACAUUCUGUGACAUGCCCUCUACCAUGGAAAUUCAAACCCCUGGCUCUAGAUGGCAAACUUCUAGAGUAAGCCAUGGGAACGAAAUUCUUGUCGAUAGGCUUGUCUUCCUUGCAUCCUUAAUAGCUCUCAAGUCCUCGGACAUAAGCAUCAUCUUGGGUAUGGACUGGAUGUCAGCUCAUUAUGCUAAGAUUGAUUGUGCCACUAGAACCGUUCAACUUACUCACCCGUCGGGCAAGAUAGUUAACGUCAUAACACGAGUGGCCAAGCGCCAACUUUACUCCCUAAAUGCCAACCCCCUUCCAGACCUUGAGGACGUUCCGGUAGUCCGAGACUUUCCGGAUGUCUUUCCAGAAGAACUGCCAGGUGUUCCACCUGACAGGGAUGUUGAGUUUGUGAUAGACCUUGUUCCAGGAAUCGUUCCAAUUUCUAGAAGAGCCUACAAGAUGGCACCCUUAGAACUAGCCGAGCUUAAGAACCAACUCGAUGAGUCCUUGAAAAAGGGUUUCAUCCGUCCUAGUUCCUCUCCUUGGGCUUGCCCCGUCCUCUUCGUUAAGAAGAAGGAUGGAACGGAUCGAAUGGUUGUGGAUUACCGACCUGUCAACUUGGUCACCAUCAAGAACAAAUAUCCGCUUCCCAGGAUCAACGAUCUGUAUGAUCAGCUCGCUGGAUCCUCAGUCUUCUCCAAGAUGGAUUUGAGGUUGGGUUACCAUCAAAUCAAAAUCAGAAACGGGGACAUUCCCAAAACGGCCUUUUUUACUCGUUAUGGCCAAUACGAGUACACCGUCAUGUCCUUCGGUUUAACCAAUGCCCCAGCCACCUUCUCGCGGUUAAUGAACUCGGUUUUCAUGGAGUACUUGGAUAAAUUCAUCGUAGUAUACCUCGAUGACAUACUCAUCUACUCCAAGAAUGAAGAGGAACAUGCCGUACAUCUAAGGCUGGUAUUGAUGAAACUUCGAGAGCAUCGCCUUUAUGCCAAAUUCUCCAAGUGUGAAUUUUGGUUGCCAGAAGUGACCUAUCUAGGCCAUGUAAUCUCUGGUAAGGGUAUUGCUAUCAAUCCCGAGCGAGUUCAAGCCGUCCUUGAUUGGACUCCACCUGAAACGGUCAAGCAAGUUCGGAGUUUCCUUGGCUUAGCGAGCUAUUGCCGCUGCUUCGUCGAGAAUUUCUCCAAGGUUGCUAAACCUCUAACUGAACUCCUCAAGAAAGAUAAAAAGUUCGAGUGGACUCCACAGUGCGAGUUCAGUUUUCAAGAACUGAAAAGACGCCUGACAUCUGCCCCCGUACUGGUACCACCAGAUUUCUCCAAGGACUUUAUUAUCUAUUGCGACGCCUCGCGACAAGGACUAGGUUGCAUACUCAUGAAAGAUCGUCAGGUAAUUGCCUAUGCUUCACGGAAAUUACACCCACAUGAGGAAAAUUAUCCCACACAUGAUCUAGAGCUUGCAGCUGUAGUCCAUGCACUUAAAACUUGGCGACAUUACCUUCUCGGUAAUCAUUGUGAGAUCUUCACCGACCACCAAAGUUUGAAAUAUAUCUUCACCCAACCAGAUUUGAAUCUCAGGCAAAGACGUUGGGUUGAGUUGAUCUCGGAUUACGACUUAGGAAUAACUUACACCCCGGGCAAAGCCAAUGUCAUGGCUGAUGCACUAAGUCGUAAAUCCUAUUGUAACAACCUGAUGUUACAACAAAGUCAACCACUUCUCCAUGAGGAAUUCCGUAAGCUUAAUCUUCACAUUGUUCCUCGAGGAUUCCUAUCCACCCUGGUGGCGAAACCUAACCUUAUGGAUCAGAUCAUAACCGCCCAGCGGUAUGAUAAGGGCAUAUCCCGGAUUAAGGAAAACAUUGCUAGCGGAGUUGCUAAAUGUUUUUCCAUGGAUAAGAGGGGUGUUGUCUUCUUUGAGAACCAUUUGGUGGUUCCCAAGAAACAACAUCUACGCCAAUUGAUCCUUAAGGAAGCUCAUGAAUCCCCUCUCACCAUUCAUCCCGGUAGUACCAAAAUGUAUCAAGACCUAUGCCAGAGGUUUUGGUGGACUAGGAUGAAGAGAGAAAUCGCUCAAUACAUUGCUAAUUAUGACGUUUGUCGUCGUGUUAAAGCAAAGCAUCAACGGCCUGCUGGCACCCUUCAACCUAUGGCUAUUCCUGAAUGGAAAUGGGAUAAAAUCAGUACGGAUUUCAUCACUGGGUUUCCCAGGACCAAGAGAGGGAAUAAUGCCAUCUUCGUUGUGAUCGACCGACUUUCCAAAGUAGCCCACUUCCUACCUGUUCGAGAGAGUAUCACCGCUAGCCAGCUAGCCAAGUUAUACAUCUCCCGAGUAGUGUCUCUUCAUGGUGUUCCAUUGGAAAUUAACUCAGACCGUGGGAGUCUCUUCACCUCUCAAUUUUGGGAAAGUUUCCAAAAUGCUAUGGGAACUCAUCUCUCCUUUAGCACUGCCUUCCAUCCUCAAUCAAGUGGUCAAGUAGAGCGAGUCAAUCGAAUUCUGGAAGAUAUGCUCCGAGCUUCUGUCAUCUCGUUCGGAAUAAGUUGGGAGAAAUGCCUUCCAUUCGCGGAGUUUGCUUAUAACAAUAGUUAUCAAGCCAGCUUAGGCAAGGCUCCUUUUGAAGUUCUCUAUGGACGAAAAUGUUGAACGCCUCUUAACUGGUCAGAAACCGGGGAAAGACAACUCUUUGGCCCGGAUAUGAUUCAGGAAGCAAAAGAGCAGGUUCGCGUUAUUCGUGAGAAAUUGAAAACAGCCCAAUCUCGUCAAAAGAGUCAAUAUGACCGUAAACAUAAGCCUAUGACUUAUGAAGUCGACGAGAAGGCUUAACUUCGGGUUACUCCGUUAAAUGGAACCCAUCGUUUCGGUAUCAAAGGCAAAUUGGCCCCUCGUUACAUCGGACCCUUUCGCAUUCUUGCCAAACGAGGAGAAGUUGCCUACCAAUUGGAACUACCUCUGCAUCUUUCCAGAGUUCACAAUGUCUUCCACGUUUCACAACUCAGGCGUUGCUUCGCGGAUCCUAUCCGUGAAGUGGACCACGAAACGCUUGAUCUACAAGAUAACCUCUCUUAUCGGGAAUAUCCCGUUCGUAUCCUUGAUCAAGCCGAGCGUACCACUCGACGCCAUAAUAUGAAGUUUCUCAAGGUUCAAUGGUCACAUCAUUCCGAGGAAGAAGCCACUUGGGAAAGGGAGGAUCGUCUUCGACUCGAGUACCCCACCUUCUUUCCAGAGGAUCCUAAAUCUCGGGACGAGAUUCUUUUGAGUGGGGGUGAGUUGUCACACCCUAGCUAGUCCAUGCAUUAGAAUGUGCAUCAUGUUUAAAUUUCUCUUAAAUUUGAAAUGGGGAAAGCAGAAACCCCCAACACCCCCCUGGAAAAACUAGGGUUUACUAAAAUUAUUUUCAGUGAACCUGAAAUGCCCUUCUAAAUAGUUCACCCUUUUGUCUUGGGUUAGAACCUCUCGCAAAAUUGGUGCACAAUUUUCUAGGUCAACAGAAGGUCUUUGAAUUAAAUCAUAAGUAUUUGAAUUUGGGCAUUUAAAUGCUAUAAAAUAAUUUAAAUGCUCAAAUAAUUCUGGGAGUAAAUGUUUCCUGUUGGAAAUAUUCUAAACAGAGGCCACAUUUAUUUUCAGGAUUUUUGGAAAUGCUCUAAUAUUUUAAAUAAAGCUAAACAGUUGCAGUUUAAUAGAAAACAGAAACUAAAACAAAAAAAGAGAAAGAAGCCCACCUGGGCCUUACCUGGCUCGGUCCAGCCUACUGGCUCGGUCAGUCACCCCCUACCUCGCGCCAGGAGGCAGGGGCGCGUGCUCGCCGCGCGCCGGCCACGCGCCGGCCACCUCCUGCUUCUGCCGACGCCGGGAGAUGCCCAGAGGAUGCCACGCGACCCCCAUGUCUCCCUCUCAUCCUGGCUCACUCCCCCCCUCGUCUCCCUCUCUCUCUCCCACGAGGGCCGAGCGCGUACCUCGCCGCCGAUCGCCGUAGCUGCCACCAUAGCCACUCCCUCGCCCCUCCGACGAGCCCAUUAGCUCCGCCUCGACUCCCUCGUCCUUCCCACCGAGCCACGCAUCACCGGAGGCCCUGCAUCGCCGCCUUCGCCCUCGUCUUCAACCUCGGGCACCCGAGCCAUCUCCGGUCGAUUCGCUGCCGCCAGGACCUCCCCGAGCCCGCUGACCCCCUCUCCGACUCCGCUGUGAGCUCCUCUUCCUUUCCCCCUAGCUCCCGUGCUCGUUUGGCCCCUGUAGCCGCCGUUUCCACCGCACCCGAGAGCUCCUCGCCGCCGGCCAUGUCACCGUCGUGGCUACGGCCGUGCAAGCACGCGUCCGAGCACACCACCGCAUUCAGUGCGACCCCAGGAGCCUAACGCACGCACUUCCUAGCCCUACCGUGCACCGUACCCCCUUUUCCCUCUCUGCCCGAACUCCGGCCGCCGCCACGAGCUCGAUUCCGGCGAGCUCGCUCCACUCCAGCUCCUCACACUUGCUCCUUUGGAUGCGCGAGAGCCUGGGCUUCGCACGGGUGGUCUCCGCCGUCGAUUUGGUCGCCUGAGGGCGUUUUCCGAAGCCCUCCGCCGUCUCGUCCUCGCCGGCGACUCAACGCCGGUGGGAUUAGCCCUGCUGACCGGUGGUUUGACCACUGACGUGGACUGGGUGGGGCCAGGUUGACUCCUUUGAGUCAAUGACAAGUGGGCCCCCCUCUGCUAAUUAUCUAGAUUAGUUUCUAACUAAAAUUAGUUAGUUUAAUUAGUAUAGUCACUGACUAGUGGGCCCUGCCCAGUAAUUAGGCUAACUAAACGUAGUUAGAGCAGUGAGAGGCUGACAGAAGGGGCCCACCAGUCAGGUUUGACCUGGGCUGGCGCCUUUGACCUGCUGAGGUCAGCAUGACGCAAUGCUGACGCAGUAAUGCAUUUACUGGAAUUAUUUUUAUACAGGAAAUUCUAGAAAAUAGUUCAAACUUCAAAAAUUCAUAGAAAUUCAACCGUAACUCCAAAUGAAAUAAUUUAUAUAUGAAAAAUUAUCAGAAAAAUUCAAUCUAUCCAUCUGUAAUGGUUUCAUGCAUGACAAAAGAAGUUUACAUUGCUGUUUAAGCAGAAUAAGGAAAUGCACUAUCAAGGCCAUGUUUAAUGAGCUAAUAUUUGAAUCUUUGAUUCAAACGAGUUCAUUCCUUUCUGUUAUAACUUGCAUUAGGCCAAGACACAUUCAUAUUGCCAUGUCAUAGAAUGCAUCAUAUUGUUGCAUAUCGUCAUGUGUUGAUUGUGCUCCGAUGUGUUCUUCGUGGUAGGUUCUGCCUCCGAGGAUAUUCACGAGUAUCCAACUAAAGGGCAGUAUCCCACUACCACUCCAUCAGGCAAGCAACCAUUGAUCAUUCCGAUACAAACCCAUGUUCUCGCUUCUGCUCUUGCUUACUACAUUAAGACAAUGCGAUUCAAACUGUUGUGUGCUACGGUAGUUGAACCCUUAUCCUCUGCAUGACCUGUCAUUGCCGCAGUAACUAGAUGAAACCCACUAGCAUGUGUAGGAGUUGAUUGAGCCAUGUAUGUGAUUCCUACCUUGCUAUGCCUGCUAUGCUUAGAGUUGUGUCAGGUCUGGUUCAUUUGGGAGAUGGGCUAGAGUGAAAUGCUUAUGUCCGUAAUGUGAGGGAUGCGUUGAACAUGUUUUGGUAAAGGUAUCGAUGAGAGGCCAUGUAGGAGUACAUGGUGGGUUGUUUCAUUGAGGCCGUCCCUAAGAACUGAGAUCUGUAUGUGUGAUUUAAGAUUCAGCUACUACCAUGCAUUGGGAUCCUUAACUGACCCUCUCGGCUUCUUAAUCACCCUAGUACUCUGUCCAGGAGUUGCAAUUAGUUUCUGGUGUUUGUAGGUUAUGUGUUGGCAGCCGUGCGUAGCGCUGACCCUAGGGGUGGGCUAUGUUGCGGUAGAUACACCGUGGUCGGGUAUGCCGGGCGCCCGUUUGGCGUCUCGGGACCCUGUUCACAUCGUUCGGGGCCGUAUGUGGAAACCUCGGCUGGACUCCCUGCGGAUGGAACCUGUGUAUGAUCGAAAGUAUGUCUAGAGGGGGGUUAUUAGACUACUUGACAAAAUAAAAACUUAACCUUUUCCCAAUUUUAGUCCUUGGCAGAUUUUAGCUAAUUUAGGACAAGUCAAGCAAUCAUCACAUGAUUCAAGCAAGCAUCCAAAGAGUAUAUAGGCAGCGGAAAGUAAAGCAUGCAACUUGCAAGAAUAUAAAGGGAAGGGUUUGGAGAAUUCAAACGCAAUUGGAGACAGGAUGUUUUUCCCGUGGUUCGGAUAGGUGGUGCUAUCCUACAUCCACGUUGAUGUAGACUUCAACCCACGAAGGGUAACGGUUGCGCGAGUCCACACAGGGCUCCACCGACGAAGGGUCCACGAAGAAGCAACCACCCACAAAGGGUCCACGAAGAAGCAACCUUGUCUAUCCCACCAUGGCCAUCGCCCACACAGGACUUGCCUCACUAGCGGUAGAUCUUCACGAAGUAGGCGAUCUCCUUGCCCUUACAAACUCCUUGGUUCAACUCCACAAUCUUGUCGGAGGCUCCCAAGUGACACCUAGCCAAUCUAGGAGACACCACUCUCCAAGAAGUAACAAAUGGUGUGUAGGUAAUGAACUCCUUGCUCUUGUGCUUCAAAUGAUAUUCUCCCCAACACUCAACUCUCUCUCAUAGGAUUUGGAUUUAGUGGAAAGAAGAUUUGAGUGGAAAGCAACUUGGGAAGGCUAGAGAUUAAGAUUCAUAUGGUAGGAAUGGAAUAUCUUGGUCUCAACACAUGAAUAGGUGGUUCUCUCUCAGAACAUAUGAGUUGGAAUGGUGUGUGUGUUCUGAUGGCUCUCUCCCCGAAUGAAGAGGAGGUGGAGGGGUAUAUAUAGCCUCCACACAAAAUCCAACCGUUACACACAGUUUUCCAAUCUUGGUGGGACCGAAUCAACAAACUCGGUCGGACCGAAAAUGUAAACCUAGUGACCGUUAGAGAUUUUCGGUGGGACUGACAUGCAACUCGGUGUGACGGAUAUGGUUAGGCUUUCGGCAUAACAUAAUCUCGGUGAGACCGAUUACACAAACUCGGUGAGACCGAAUUUGGUAAUUAGCUAACCAGAGAGUUGGUCAGGCAAACUCGGUGGGACCGAUUUGCUCUUUCGGUGAGACCGAGUGGAACUCGGUGAGACCGAAAAGUUACAAAGGGGAAACACUGAGUUUACAUUGCAAUCUCGGUGGGACCGAUUCGCUCUUUCGGUGAGACCGAAAAGUUACGAAAGGGAAACAGAGAGUUUGCAAUCCCAUCUCGGUGAGACCGAGAUCCUUAUCGGUAGAACCGAAUUGCUAGGGUUUGGCAGUGGCUAAUGACAAGUGAAACUCGGUGGCGCCGGAUAGGAAGAAUCGGUAGGACCGAGUUUGGCUUAGGGUUUAGGUCAUAUGUGGAUAUGGGAAAGUAGUUGAGGGUUUUGGAGCAUAUCACUAAGCACAUGAAGCAAGAGGCUCAUUAAGCAACACCUCAUCCCUCCUUGAUAGUAUUGGCUUUUCCUAUGGACUCAAUGUGAUCUUGGAUCACUAAAAUAUAAAAUGAAGAGUCUUGAGCUUUUGAGCUUGAGCCAAUCCUUUGUCCUUAGCAUUUUGAGGGUUCCACUUUCACAUCCAUGUCAUGCCAAUCAUUGAGCUUUCCUGAAAUAAUCAUCUUGGAAUAGCAUUAGCUCAAUGAGCUAUAUGUUGUUAUGAAUUACCAAAACCACCUAGGGAUAGUUGCACUUUCAAUCUCCCCAUUUUUGGUAAUUGAUGACAACAUAUAGAUCAAAGCUUCGACAAAUGAUAAUAAGCAUGAAAUAUAUCAUCGCUUUGAGAAGUAUGUGAUAAGUAAGAGCUCCCCCUAAAUUUGUGCAUAUUCAAAAUUUGCUUUGGACUGCAAAUGCACAAGGAGUUAGAGUCAUGGGUUACUCUUCCAUGUCACAUACAUCUUGGUGGAGCGCUUAAAAUGAUAAGAAUGAAAUACAUGCACUCAUCACCAAGAAUAGUGAGUGAUCACAUAAGAUAGAUAAGAUAAUAGCAUUAAGCAAGCAUUAAGUGUAGCUUAUGAUCAAACACAUGAUCAUCAAUGUCUCACAAGCAUAGUAUCUCAAGCACUCAAAAGCAAACAAGUUUGAAAAACCACCAAAUAAAGCAAGAGAGAAAAGCAACACUCUCUCUCUCGAAGCCUAUGAUCUAUACAUCUUCCCCCCCUUUGGCAACAAUUUACCAAAAAGUUCCUAGAAAAUGCAUAGCACUAGAUCGAUGCUCAGGCUUGAUCUUCUGGUGGUGGUGGAGUCCAGAUCACUCCAAGGACGAAGGCUUCGGUAGAUGUUGAAGUAGACGCUGGAGUUGGAGCUGAAGUAGAUGCUGGAGCUGGUGGAACUGAGGCUGUGGCUGGUGCUGAGGUGGCGGCUCUGGUGUCAGCAACUGGCACGGCAGAUGACCUCGGGCCUCGUGGCACUCUGGCAAAGGCAUGAGUGGUAGUCCUGCCUCUCCUCUCCUGCAUGUCCUCCUGGAGCUGCUCCACUGCAGACUGAACUUCCGUUACUUUGACAUCCAAGUCAUAGAACUUCUGUUCCAUGAUUCUCUCUAGGCUCUGCUGAUUUUGAUUGAGGGUGGCCAGACUUUGCUCAAUCCUCAGCAUGGAUGCAAUCAAGUAACCAAGCUACUCUUGUUUGGUCUUCAAGAAGUAUUCAGAUGCCUCCUCUUGAGUUGGCAUCUUGGCAGCUUUCUCCUUCCUCGCCUUCUCCUUCUUUGCGUAAGCUUGUGCAGACGAUGGCUCGUUCUCAGUCAUGACAACUUGAUUGUCCUCAAAAUCUGGACGGAUGGGCAAAUGUUCCUUGUCCAAUAAAUAUAUGCCCGUGCCCAUCUUGGAGUUGAUGAGCUCCUGAAUUUGAGGGGCAUAUCCGCAACUCCUCUUCUGAUCUGCUGCAGUCCUCUUGAUUGUUUCCACUAUGAGGCUCAUCACCUUGAACUUCUGAGGCACAUCAAACACAUGUAGCAAGUUGAUAGCAUGGCCUCUGAUCAUCUUGUGAUCUCCAGACUUGGGCAGUAAGGUGUGCCUUAGUAUCCAAUUGAUCGUAGGCAGACCUGACAGAAGAUAAUGCACUGAGCCAAACUUGAAAGUAUCAAGUGCUUCAUUUGGGAUUUCCUUGUACAUAUUUGACAUUGAUUUGUGGUCCAUCUUCUUCUUGGCAUAUAUGUCCAUGUUGUCAUCAUGCUCCUCUGGGGCAUUAAUCAACUUUGCCCAUUCCUCAACAGUGGAUUGGUACCUCGUACCCUUAGACAUCCAUGUGAUCCUCCCAUCUGGAUAAAAAUGUGACGUGGAGUAGAACUGCAUUAUAAGCUCCUCAUUCCACUUUGUGAGCUUCUGCCCAACAAAGUCAGCUACUCCACAAGCUAUGAAGCUGUCUUGCACUCUAGGAUAGUGCUCUUCGUUGUCCUUGAUAUAUUGCCAAUCAACCCAUCGCAUAUCACAGACAAUGGGCUUCUUAUCUAGCAGCACUGUCUCAUAAAAAUCCUGUUGCUCCUUGGUGUGAAAUCUGUAGUCCACGGCAGUCCUUCUCCUUGAAGCAUACGGGUCUGCUUCUCUCCACUUCCUCAGCCCUGAAUCUCUCCUGAGCUUCAUAUCCUCAGCCACAGGAUGAGCAUCGUUGUGGUCUGGGAUCUUGGGCUUUAGCUUUCUCAGGACAUUCUCUUCCUCUUCUUCUGCAACAGUCUCAGGCACUGGGGCCUUGUUCUUCUCAGCUGCAGGAAUGCUCCUUGUAUUCCUCUUUGGUUUUGGCUUGGAGGCAGCUUUGGGCUUAGAUGCAGUAGCCCCUGACCUUAUGGCAUCACCCAUCAGCUUGGGUGCCUUGGGUGCUGGUGCAGCUACCUCUUCUUCCUCUUCCUCUUCCAUGAUGGAAGCUUUUCCUAGCACGCUGGCUACGGUCUUCUUGACCCUUUCCUUCCUCUUCUUGCCUUAUGCAGCAACUGGCUCUUGGGGAGUGGGCUUCUCAGUUGAGGCUCUUGCCUUUGACAUGGGCUGCCUGCUUGCUGGCCUUUUGAUUUUCAGCCCUGGCUUUGUGCCUUGAGCUGGCUCAACUCUCUUGGAAGUGGCCUCUUCCUCUGUCACAUAGUCCUCAUCUUCGGAAUCUGAAGUCCUCUUCUUCCUCUGUCUCGUGGCUGCCUUUGGCAAGUUGCUAGGGGUGCUCCUGCUGCCCUCAUCUGAAGAACUUGAGGGACUAGUGCCCUCACUCAUGUGCAUCUGCUGCUCUGACAUGUUUUGGCUAUCACUUUGAUCAGACAUGCUGCAAACUGAUUGCUGACCCUGUGAAUAGAUUAUAGAUGAGGUAGAAAGGAUGAGCAUCACAAAAUACAGAGAUUUUUGCAAAAGAAUGAUCCAAAAACUUAGUUUUAGUUUCCCACUGAAAUCAUCUCGGAUCUACCGAUUUUCAAACUCGGUGAUACCGAAGCAGUUUUGGAACCUAAACUAGUGAACUCGGUAGGACCGAGUCACAGUUCGGUGGCACCGAGACUGCUAGGGUUUCACAGAGUUCCAAAAUCGGUCACACCGAUAAGUAAUUCUCCGUCAGACCGAGUCUCACUUGUGCAAUGGCAUAAGCCAAAUCGGUGGGACCGAGUUUUUCAACUCGGUGGGUCGGAGAUGGUUUCGGCGGAGACCUAAACCUAGAAUUUUCGAAUCAAACCUAAUCUAUGAGCGUUUUGACUGGAUAGGAGUGUUUCAAUCGUGGCAAGAAUCAUGAAGAUCACAAUGUGCUAGGAAUCAGAUUGGAGAAUAGCACAAAGAUCAAGUCCAUACCCUAGUUCGCGGGGACUUGCUACGGCGGCAACGGUGGGGCAGAAUUCCCGUUGACGGCGACGGAGACCAGCGACUGGAGGCGGCUGGCGGCGAGAAGAUGAUCCGGAGACCAUGAGGGCAGAGCAGGCUAUCGCGCGGGCGAAGGGGUUCGGAGAAAUUUCCAAAAUUUUGCCCUUGACUAUAUAUAGCCCGACCCUGUCGGUGUGACCGAGUGGAACAACUCAGUGGCACCGAGAUUCAUGACUGCAAGCAGUUACUGAAACUCAGUGUGACCAAAAGGUUCAAAUCGGUUGCACCGAGAUCGAAAACCUAGAUCAACUUAAUGAUCUCGGUAGGACCGAAAGUGGAGUAUCGGUCAGACCGAGAAUCAUAAAGAGGUUUUGGAAGUUUAAGUCUAUGACAAAUCGGGGACUCCGAGCGCUCCUCACACAGAGUCGUUCGAGUCUGACUUGAUCAAAUUUUGUGAUGCAGCAUGAAUAGAGUUUGAGACGAGAAAAGCAUAGAUAGCUAGAGGAGGUUCUUAGGCAUUCUUGUCCAUCCACUUGGCAAAAAGAAAUAAAGCCGAACAAUCAAAACAACAAGUGGAUGUCCUCGAAUGAGUAAAAUAUGCAUCCAGCAUGCUCACACAAUAAGAUGGCAAAUGAAAUAUGUGACAAGGCAUGCACAACCAAUUCUAGCAUCUAUCAAGCAAUUUGCGAUGACUAGGUCAUCUAUAUAUGAGUAUAUUGACUUAGGAGUCAAGUGAGAACACUUGAUCAUAGGUCAUACUCAUCGUUUAAGCUCAAGUGGGGUUACCACUUUUACAUAAAGCAUUGUUGUGUUCACAUCUUUAGAGUUGCUUUAGCUCAAGUCUUAGAGUAAAGCUCCCCCUAGAUGUGAUAUCCCCCCUAAGAGGGAUGAACUAACCUUGGGUUUUGUCGAUGAUGACUUCAUGUAGAUAUUGAAGAUGUGGAUGCUCAAUGUUGAUGUAGAUCUCUUGGAGCUAUCCAUUUGAGUGAAUUGCACUUUCAAUACCUACAUGGGUUAGUCCCACAAGGAACAAACAAGGAUAUCCAUAGACAUAGAGUGAUGCACACACAAGAUGAUGUCCAUGAAAACUUUUAGGUUACCUUGUCCCUUGUCUUACCAACAAGAGGGUUUGUGACUCCUUGAACUAGUGCAAGAUGUGGAAGUUGAUUGCACUUGUUCUUGCCAAAAUGAUAAGAGUGAAGUAUGUUGGUGGAGUCACCCUCGAGAACUCUCUAGUUCUUCUUCUUUUGGAUCCACACCAUCUUGAUGGGAAUCCUUGGAGUUGUAGUCGUACUUGAUGAAGUGGAACUUGAAGUAGUCUUGGGAAUCCACUUGACUAAGGUCUUUGGAGUUUCUUCAAAUGCAUCAAUUUCCUCUUGAAGCUUGUCCUUGCCUUUUUGCUUGUAGUCUUGUGGUGGAAGAUCAUCUUGAGCUUGUGUCCCCUUGAAAGAAGUAUCAUACUUCUCUUGUUGAGGAAUAAACUUUGUCUUGGGGUAUUGAUCUUCUUCCCACUCAACUCCAUUGGCAUUGAACUUUCGUUCAAAACCAACACCUUGAUUCUUUCGGUGCAUUCCUUGCUUGCGCACAAUUUCCUCGAAUUGCUUACUCCCAGUAAGGCUUUUGUACACUCCUUUCUCUAUAAUUCCCUUCAAUAAACUAUUUUCUUGCUCAAGUGUAACUUGGCUAAGAGAAUCAUUAGUGGAAUCAAGAGAACUACUAGAAGCAACAAUAUUGGAUUUAACAUGAUCAUUGUCACUGCUAGAGGAAGAAUCUUUCUUGUUACUAGACUUGACUUGAGGCAUGUAAGUGGAUAAGAGUAAACGCUUGGCAAUGUAAGAAGAACUUUUCUUGCGGAGAUCAUCAUUGAUUGCUUUUAAGAACUCAUGCUCUUGCUCAAGAUUGAGCUUCUCAAAGCGUAAUUUCUCAUGAGCUCUUAAAAGUUCUCGAUGAUCUUCGAAGAUGGUUUCAUGAGCUAACUUAAGAGUGUUUAGUUCUUUAGUUAGGGCCUCAAUCUUCUCCUUAUCAUUGUCAUUCGUUUUAUCUUGAUUAGCAUGUUUAAUUGACAUUUCAUCAUAGUAUUCAUCACUAGAGUUGUCACCAAGCAAAUCAUCACCUAACAAGUCAUCUUCAUCACUAUUGAAAUCAACAUACUCGGGGUGUGUUACCUUAGGACCUUUGGCCAUGAAGCAUCUUCCAAUUCCUUCAUUUGGUGAGUCAAAUAUGUCGUAGGAGUUGGUUGACACAAGUGCUAGACCGGCAACACCUUCAUCUUGAGUAUCUUCGGAGUCAGAGUGAUAACUUCUCUCGGAGUGGCUGUCGGAGUCGGAGCCGGAUACCCAUUCACCAACAUGAGCUUGAUGUCUUCGUUUUGUGUAGCUCCUUGAUGAUUUUUCCUUCCUUUCCGAAUCCUUGCUUCUCCGUGAGUAUCUUCGUUCAUAACGAUCAUCUCUACUCCUUCUCUCUCUUGGUGGUGAUUCUUUGCUUCUUCUUUUUGGAGAAUCUUCUCUUCUCUUGUAGGGAGCCGUACACUCAUUGGAAUAGUGUCCGGGUCUUCCACAACUGUAGCAGUUUCGCUCUUGACUAGAAGAUCUUUUGUCAUUGUAGGACCUUGACUUGAAGCUUCUAUCUUUGCUUCUACUCUUGUAGAACUUGUUGAAGUUCUUCACCAUUAAGCUCAAUUCUUCAUUGAAGUUUUGUUUCUCACUUGAUGAUGUAGGGGCUUCACAUGAGGCUUUGUAGGCACCAGUUGAUUUGUUGUGAAGUUCCUCUUUAUCCUUAAGUGACAUCUCAUGAGCAACAAUUCUUCCAAUCACCUCCGUUGGCUUGAGAUCUUUGUAAUUGGGCAUCAUUUGGAUCAAUGUGCACACGGUAUCAUAUUUUCCAUCCAAGGCUCUUAGAAUCUUCUUGAUGAUGAAUCUAUCGGUCAUCUCUUCACUUCCUAAGCCGGCAAUCUCAUUUGUGAUGAGAGCAAGCCUAGAGUACAUUUCAGCGACACCUUCACCAUCCUUCAUCUUGAACUUGUCAAGUUGGCUUUGAAGCACAUCCAACUUGGAUUCCUUGACGGAGUCGGUACCUUCGUGCAUAUCAAUCAAAGUGUCCCAAAUUUCCUUUGCAUUCUCAAGACGGCUGAUUUUGUUGAAUUCUUCGGGGCACAAUCCAUUGAAGAGAAUAUCACAAGCUUGAGCAUUGUAUUGCAACAUCUUCAACUCAUCCACGGUAGCUUCACGGUUUGGUUCUCUCCCAUCAAAGAAGUCACCUUGCAAACCAACACACAAAAUAGCCCAAACGGCGGGGUUAUGUCCAAGAAUAUGCAUUUUCAUUUUAUGCUUCCAACUAGCAAAAUUAGUACCAUCAAUGUAAGGACCUCUACGGUGAUAAUUUCCCUCGCUAGACGCCAUACUCUCCUAGGUUGUAAAACCAAGGCUAUGACCACCAAAAGCUAUGGAGAUCAAAGCAAAUGGAGACCAAAGCUCUAAUACCACUUGCAGGAUCGAAAGUAUGUCUAGAGGGGGGUGAUUAGACUACUUGACCAAAUAAAAACUUAACCUUUUCCCAAUUUUAGUCGUUGGCAGAUUUUAGCUAAUUUAGGACAAGUCAAGCAAUCAUCACAUGAUUCAAGCAAGCAUGCAAAGAGUAUAUAGGCAGCGGAAAGUAAAGCAUGCAACUUGCAAGAAUGUAAAGGGAAGGGUUUGGAGAAUUCAAACGCAAUUGGAGACACGGAUGUUUUUCCGGUGGUUCAGAUAGGUGGUGCUAUCCUACAUCCACGUUGAUGGAGACUUCAACCCACGAAGGGUAACGGUUGCGCGAGUCCACACAGGGCUCCACCCAAGGGUAACGGUUGCGCGAGUCCACACAGGGCUCCACCCACGAAGGGUCCAUGAAGAAGCAACCACCCACAAAGGGUCCACGAAGAAGCAACCUUGUCUAUCCCACCAUGGCCAUCGCCCACACAGGACUUGCCUCACUAGCGGUAGAUCUUCACGAAGUAGGCGAUCUCCUUGCCCUUACAAACUCCUUGGUUCAACUCCACAAUCUUGUCGGAGGCUCCCAAGUGACACCUAGCCAAUCUAGGAGACACCACUCUCCAAGAAGUAACAAAUGGUGUGUAGGUAAUGAACUCCUUGCUCUUGUGCUUCAAAUGAUAGUCUCCCCAACACUCAACUCUCUCUCAUAGGAUUUGGAUUUAGUGGAAAGAAGAUUUGAGUGGAAAGCAACUUGGGAAGGCUAGAGAUCAAGAUUCAUAUGGUAGGAAUGGAAUAUCUUGGUCUCAACACAUGAGUAGGUGGUUCUCUCUCAGAACAUAUUAGUUGGAAUGGUGUGUGUGUUCUGAUGGCUCUCUCCCCGAAUGAAGAGGAGGUGGAGGGGUAUAUAUAGCCUCCACACAAAAUCCAACCGUUACACACAGUUUUCCAAUCUCGGUGGGACCGAAUCAACAAACUCGGUCGGACCGAAAAUGUAAACCUAGUGACCAUUAGAGAUUUUCGGUGGGACUGACAUGCAACUCGGUGUGACCGAUAUGGUUAGGGUUUGGGCAUAACAUAAUCUCGGUGAGACCGAUUACACAAACUCGGUGAGACCGAAUUUGGUAAUUAGCUAACCAGAGAUUUGGUCAGGCAAACUCGGUGGGACCGAUUUGCUCUUUCGGUGAGACCGAGUGGAACUCGGUGACACCGAAAAGUUACAAAGGGGAAACACUGAGUUUACAUUGCAAUCUCGGUGGGACCGAUUCGCUCUUUCGGUGAGACCGAAAAGUUACGAAAGGGAAACAGAGAGUUUGUAAUCCCAUCUCGGUGAGACCGAGAUCCUUAUCGGUAGAACCGAAUUGCUAGGGUUUGGCAGUGGCUAAUGACAAGUGAAACUUGGUGGCGCCGGAUAGGAAGAAUCGGUAGGACCGAGUUUGGCUUAGGGUUUAGGUCAUAUGUGGAUAUGGGAAAGUAGUUGAGGGUUUUGGAGCAUAUCACUAACCACAUGAAGCAAGAGGCUCAUUAAGCAACACCUCAUCCCUCCUUGAUAGUAUUGGCUUUUCCUAUGGACUCGAUGUGAUCUUGGAUCACUAAAAUAUAAAAUGAAGAGUCUUGAGCUUUUGAGCUUGAGCCAAUCCUUUGUCCUUAGCAUUUUGAGGGUUCCACUUUCACAUCCAUGCCAUGCCAAUCAUUGAGCUUUCCUGAAAUAAUCAUCUUGGAAUAGCAUUAGCUCAAUGAGCUAUAUGUUGUUAUGAAUUACCAAAACCACCUAGGGAUAGUUGCACUUUCAACCUAGAUAGGCGAUAAACCUGGACUAGAGACUUAAGUGUUUAGGUAGGCCGUGGCCGACACCCUCGCUGGGCUUCCGCUUGAAGGUUGCCGAGUACAUGUCGUGUAAACGGAGAUAAGUGGUGAAAGCGUGUAUGACGAAGUACACCCCUGCAGGGUAUAAACUAUUCGAAUAGCCGCGUCCGUGGUAAAGGACUACUUGGUUGCCUAUACAGUUCAUAGACAAGUUAAUGGAUACUACUAAAAGACUCAAGAUAAGUGUGAGUACCGAGGAUGGCCCUCUCGUAGGAUGACGAGGGAGGAUCCCCGGUGGAGUAUUGUGUUGGUGAGUAGUGGACUCGUGUGCGAAAACUAUUUACUGGUGGAGUUCCGUAGGAUAGCUUAGCCAAGAGUCAAAGCUGGCUUGCUGCAUCAACCCCACCGCCUUCUUGAAAAUAAGCAUGUAUAGUAGGUUCUGAUGUAAGACUUGCUGAGUACCUUUGUACUCAUGUUUUCUUAAUUACUGUUUCAGACGACACCGCCCACUCCGAUGGGUUCUACGUAGACCUUGACAUCGACGAGUGACUAGCCACCCAGGUGGUGAUCCUGGCCAUGGAGGGCUUUAUGUAGAUAGACAGGCUUCGAGAAGCCUUCUUUCUUUCUAGAGUCUGUACUCAGACUAGUUGCUUCCGCAUGUGCUUAUAUGUUUGUAUGACUUGAGUGUCGGGUCAUGUGACCCCUAUCUGUAUGAACAUGUUAUGUAUGGCUCUCUGGAGCCUUUAGAUAAAGUACUUGAGUUGUAGAGUUUUGUUGUGAUGCCAUGUUGUAUGUACUCAUAUCGGGCAUAUUGUGUGUAUGAUUGAAAUGCUUGGUAUGAGUGGGAUCCGACAAUCUAGUUGUUUAUCCUUGGCAGCCUUUCUUAUGGGGAAAUGUAGUCUAGUGUUCCUCGAGCCAUAGUAAUCCGCUACAGCCCGGUUCACCGGAGUCCUGCUAGCCCAGCACUACUGUUCAGGACACUUGACUGGCCGGCAUGUGUUUCACUUCGUCCCUAUGUCUGUCCCUUCGGGGAAAUGUCACAUGGUGACUUCCGGAGUCCUGCCUAGCCUGCUACAGCCCGGGGUUCCCCGGAGUCCUGUCAGCCCAGUGCUACAGCCCAGAAUCACUCGUUGAUGACCGACAUGUUCGAUGUGAUUCAUGUAUGUCUGUCUCCAUAGGUCUGUGCCGCUUUGGGUUCACGACUAGCCAUGUCGGCCCGGGUUCUCUGUCAUAUGGAUGCUAGCGACACUAUCAUAUACGUGAGCCAAAAGGCACAAACGGUCCCGGGCCAUGGUAAGGCGACACCCGUGGGAUACCGUGCGUGAGGCCGCAAAGUGAUAUGAGGUGUUACCGGCUAGAUCGAUGUGACUUGGAAUUGGGGUCCUAAUAGUGUGCAUCCAACUCGCCUGGUCACGAAGACCUAGGGCAUUUGUGGAAGCCCAUCAUUGGAAUAUAAAAGCCAAGUUCUAUAAUGAAAAAUUCCCACUAGUAUAUGAAAGUGACAAAAUAAGGGACUCUCUAUUAUGAAGAUCAUGGUGCUACUUUGAAGCACAAGUGUGGAAAAAGGAUAGUAACAUUGUCCCUUCUCUCUUUUUCUCUCUCUCUUUUAUUUUUUUAUUUGGGCCUUCUUUCUUUUUUUUGCCUCUUUUCUCUUCUUUUUUUUCGUCCAGAGUCCCAUCCAGACUUGUGGGGGAAUCAUAGUCUCCAUCAUCCUUUCCUCACUAGGACAAUGCUCUAGUAAUGAUGAUUAUCACACUUUUAUUUUCUUACAACUCAAGAAUUACAACUCGAUACUUAGAACAAAAUAUGACUCUAUGUGAAUGCCUCCGGUGGUGUACCGGGAUUGCGAUGAAUCAAGAGUGACAUGUAUGAAAAAAUUAUGAACGGUGGCUUUGCCACAAAUACGAUGUCAACUACAUGAUCAUGCAAAGCAAUAUGACAAUGAUGAUGCGUGUAAUAAUAAAUGGAAUGGUGGAAAGUUUCAUGGCAAUAUAUCUCGGAGUGGCUAUGGAAAUGGCAUAAUAGGUAUGUAUGGUGGCUCUUUUGAGGAAGAUAUAAGCAGGCUUAUGUUUGAUAGAGCGUAUCAUAUCACGGGGUUUGGAUGCACCGGUGAAGUUUGCACCAACUCUCAAGGUGAGAAAGGGCAAUGCACGGUACCGAAGAGGCUAGCAAUGAUGGAAGGGUGAGAGUGCGUAUAAUCCAUGGACUCAACAUUAGUCAUAAAGAACUCACAUACUUGUUGCAAAAAUCUACUUGUCAUCAAAACCAAGCACUACGCGCAUGCUCCUAGGGGGAUAGAUUGGUAGGAAAAGACCAUCGCCCGUCCCCGAUCGCCACUCAUAAGGAAAGCAAUCAAAGAACACCCCAUGCUUCAAAUUUGUCACAUAACAUUCACCAUACGUGCAUGCUACGGGACUUCCCAACUUCAACACAAGUAUUCAUCAAUUUCACAUUUACUCAACUAGCAUACUUCUAAUAUUACCACCUUUAUAUCUCAAGACCAUCUAUCAAGCAUCCAACUUCUCUUAGCAUUUAAAAUUUAUAACCAAAGUGAAUUACCAUGCUGUUCUAAAGGACUCUCAAAAUGAUAUAAGUGAAGCAUGAGAGAUCAAUUAUUUCUAUAAAAUAGAACCACCGCCGUGCUCUAAAAGAUAUAAGCAAAGCACUAGAGCAAAAACUAUACAACUCAAAAGAUAUAAGUGAAGCACAUAGAGUAUUGUAAUAAAUUCCAAUUCAUGUGUGUCUCUCCCAAAAGGUGUGUACAGAAAGGAUUAUUGUGGUAAACUAAAAAGCAAAGACUCAAAUUAUACAAGACGCUCCAAGCAAAACACAUAUCAUGUGGCAAAUAAAAAUAUAGCUCCAAGUAAAGUUACCGAUGGACGAAGACGAAAGAGGGGAUGCCUUCCGGGGCAUCCCCAAGCUUAGGCUUUUGGUUGUCCUCAGAUUUUACCUUGGGGUGCCUUGGGAAUCCCCAAUCUUAGGCUCUUUUCACUCCUUGUUCCAUAAUCCAUCAAAUCUUUACCCAAAACUUGAAAACUUCCCAACACAAAACUUAAAAGAAAAUCUUCGUGUGCUCCGUUAGUAAAAGAAAGCAAACCACCACAUCAAGGUACUGUAAUGAAAUCAUUCUUUAUUUAUAUUGGUGUUAAACCUACUGUAUUCAAACUUUUCUAUGGUUCAUAAACUCUAUUACUAGCCAUAGAUUUAUCAAAAUAAGCAAACAACACACGAAAAACAGAAUCUGUCAAAAACAGAACAGUCUGUAGUAAUAUGUAGGUUUCGAAUACUUAUGGAACCCCAAAAAUUCUAAAAUAAGUUUCUGGACGUGAGUAAUUUAUCUAUUAAUCAUAUUCAAAAAGAAUUAACUAAAUAUAACUCUCCAAUAAAAAAUGGCAGCAAUUCUCGUGAGCGCUAAAGUUUCUGUUUUUACAGUAAGAUCAAAAAGACUUUCCCCAAGUCUUCCCAAUGGUUCUACUUGGCAUAAACACUAAUUAAACACAAAACACACAACCAAAACAGAGGCUAGAUAAAUUAUUUAUUACUAAACAGGAGCAAAAGCAAGGAAUAAAAAUAAAAUUGGGUUGCCUCUCAACAAGCGCUAUCGUUUAACGCUCCUAGCUAGGCAUAAAAGCGAGGAUAGAUCUAGGUAUUGCCAUCUUUGGUAGGCAAUCCAUAGGUGGCUCUCAUAAUAGAUUCAUAUGGUAAUUUAAUUUUCUUUCUAGGGAAGUGUUCCAUGCCUUUCCUUAACAUAAAUUGGAAUCUAAUAUUCCCUUCCUUCAUAUCAAUAAUUGCACCAAUUGUUCUAAGGAAAGGUCUACCAAGAAUAAUAGGACAUGAAGGAUUGCAAUCUAUAUAAAGAACAAUGAAAUCUACGGGCACAUACUUCCUAUUUGCAACAAUAAGAACAUCAUUAAUUUUUCCCAUAUGUUUCUUAAUGGUGGAAUCCGCAAGGUGCAUGUUUAAAGAACAAUUAUCAAAUUGACGGAAACCUAGCAAAUCACACAAAGCUUUUGGGAUCGUGGAAACACUAGCACCCAAAUCACACAAAGCAUAGCAUUCAUGAUCUUUAAUUUUUAUUUUAAUUGUAGGUUCCCACUCAUCAUAAAGUUUUCUAAGGAUAGAAACUUCCAACUCAAGUUUUUCUUCAUAAGAUUGCAUCAAAGCAUCAACGAUAUGUUUAGUAAAAGCUUUAUUUUAACUAUAAGCAUGAGGAGAAUUUAGCACAGAUUACAACAAGGAAAUACAAUCUAUCAAAGAGGAAUUAUCAUAAUGAAAUUCCUUGAAAUCCAAGAUAGUGGGUUUGUUGCUAUCUAAAGUUUUAACCUCUCCAAUCCCACUUUUAUCAAUCUUUGCAUCAAGAUCUAAAAACUACGAAUCAUUGGGACGCCUUCUAACUAAGGUUGACUCGUAUCCAGUCCCAUCAUUAUCAUGAUUCAUAUUGAAAAACAAAGAUUUAAUAGGGGACACAUCAAUAACUUUUAGAUCUUCAUCCUUAUUAACAUGAAAACUAGAAGAACACGCUUUUAUGAAGCAAUCUUUCUUACCAUGCAUCCUAGCGGUUCUUUCUUUGCACUCAUCAAUGGAAAUUCUCAUGGAUUUGAGAGACUCAUUGAUAUCAUGCUUAGGUGGAAUAGAUCUAAGUUUCAAAUAAUCAACAUCAAGAGAAAUUCUAUCCACGUUCCUAGCGAACUCAUCAAUCUUAAGCAUUUUUUCUUCAAUCAAAGCAUUGGAACUCUUUGCCGAACUAAUAAAUUCUUUAAUACUAGAUUCAAAAUCAGAGGGCAUCUUAUUAUAAUUUCCAUAAGAAUUAUUGUAGGAAUUACCAUAAUUAUUAGAGGAAUUACUAGGAAAUGACUUAGAAUUAAAAUUACCUCUAUGCGUGUUGUUACCAAAAUUGUUCCUACCAACAAAAUUCACAUCCAUAGAUUCAUUAUUAUUCGAAAUCAAUGUAGACAAAGGCAUAUCAUUAGGAUCAGUAGGAGCAAUCUUAUUAGCAAACAAUUUCAGAAGUUCAUCCAUCUUUCCACUCAAAACAUUAAUCUCUUCAAUUGCAUGCACCUUUUUACUAGUAGAUCUUUCAGUGUGCCAUUGAGAAUAAUUAACCAUAAUAUUAUCUAGGAUUUUGGUAGCUUCUCAUAAAGUGAUUUCCAUAAAAGUGCCUCCUGCGGCCGAAUCUAAAAGAUUUCUAGAAGCAAAGUUCAAUCCGGCAUAAAAAACGUGUAUAAUCAUCCAUAAAUUCAAACCAUGUGUAGGGCAAAUACGUAUCACUAAUUUCAUCCUCUCCCAAGAUUGUGCAACAUGAUCAUGAUCAAGUUGCUUAAAAUUCAUAAUAUCGUCUCUAAGAGAGAUGAUCUUAGCAGGAUGAAAACACUUAUAGAUAAAAGCAUCUUUGCACUUAUUCCAUGAAUCAAUACUAUUUUUAGGCAAAGAUGAAAACCAAGCUUUAGCACAAUCUCUAAGCAAAAAUGGAAAUAGCUUAAGUUAAACAAUAUCAUUAUCCAAAUCUUUCUUCUUUUGCAUAUAACACAAAUCAACAAAGUUGUUUAGAUGGGUAGCGGCUUCUUCACUAGGAAGGCCAGAAAACGGAUCUUUCAUGACAAGAUUCAGCAAGAUUCAGCAUCGGUAAGAGGAGCAAUCGGAGUGGUAAUAAAAUCAUUAUUGUUGGUAUUGGCAAAGACACACAAUUUAGUAUUAUCUUGAGCCAUUGUGACAAGCAAGCAAUCCAACACACAAGCAAACAAGAAAUAGGCAAAAGAGGCAAACUGGAAAAGAGAAGGGGAACGGAAAAAGAGGGCGAAUAAAACGGCAAGGGUGAAGUGUGGGAGAGGAAAACGAGAGGCAACUGGGCAAAUAAUGUAAUCUGAAGGGUAAGAGUUGUGAUAGGUAAUUGGUAUGUCUUGACUUGGCGUAGAUCUCCCCGGCAACAGCGCCAGAAAUCCUUCUUGCUACCUCUUGAGCACUGCAUUGGUUUUCCCUUGAAGAGGAAAGGGUGAUGCAGUAAAGCAGUGUAAGUAUUUCCCUCAGUUUUUGAGAACCAAGGUAUCAAUCCAGUAGGAGACCAUGCGCGAGUCUCCUUGUACCUACACAAACAAAUAAGAACCUUGCAACCAAUGCGAUAAAGGGGUUGUUAAUCCCUUCACGGCCACUUGCAAUAGUGAGAUCUAAAAGAGAUAAUAAUAAUAAGAUAAUUUUUUUGGGUAUUUUUAUGAUAUAGAUUGAAAGUAAAGAUUGCAAAAUAAAAUAGAUUGGAAACUUGUAUGAUGGAGAAUAGACCCGGGGGCCAUAGGUUUCAGUAGUGGCUUCUCUCAAGAUAGCAUAAGUAUUACUGUCGAGCAAUUGAUAGAAAAGCGAAUAAUAUGAGAAUAUCUAGGUAUGAUCAUGUAUAUAGGCAUCACGUCCGUGACAAGUAGACCGACUCCUGCCUGCAUCUACUACUAUUACUCCACACAUCGACCGCUAUCCACCAUGCAGCUAGAGUAAUAAGUUCAUAAGAACAGAGUAACGCAUUAAGCAAGAUGACAUGAUGUAGAGGGAUAAACUCAUGCAAUAUGAUAUAAACCCCAUCUUUUUAUCCUCAAUGACAACAAUACAAUACGUGUCGUUUCCCUUUUUGUCACUGGGAUCGAGCACCGCAAGAUUGAACCCAAAGCUAAGCACUUCUCCCAUUGCAAGAAAGAUCAAUCUGGUAGGCCAAACCAAAUUGAUAAUUCGAAGAGACUUGCAAAGAUAAACCAAUCAUACAUAAAAUAAUUCAGAGAAGAUUCAAAUAUUGUUCAUAGAUAGACUUGAUCAUAAACCCACAAAUCCGCUGAUCCCGACAAACACACCGCAAAAGAAGAUUACAUCGAAUAGAUCUCCAAGAGAAUCGAGGAGAACUUUGUAUUGAGAUCCAAAGAGAGAGAAGAAGCCAUCUAGAUACUAGCUAUGGACCCGAAGGUCUGAGGUAAACUACUCACACAUCAUCCGAGGGGCCAUGGAGUUGAUGUAGAGGCCCUCCGUGAUCAAUGCCCCCUCCGACGGAGCUCCGGAAAAAGCCCCAAGAUGGGAUCUCUUGGGUACAGAAGGUUGCGGCGGUGGAAAUAGGGUUUCAUGGUGCUCCUGGAUGUUUGCGGGUAUAUGAAUAUAUAUAUAUAUAUAUAUAUAUAUAUAUAUAUAUAUAUAUAUAUAUAUAUAUAUAUAUAUAUAGGAGGAAGAAGAAGGUCGGUGGAGCAACGAGGGGCCCACGAGGGGGGAGGGCGCGCCCCCUGCCUCGUCGCCGCCUCGUUGAUUUCUUGACGUCCACUCCAAGUCCUCUGGAUCACGUUUGUUCCAAAAAUCACGUUCCCGAAGGUUUCAUUCUGUUUGGACUCUGUUUGAUAUUCCUUUUCUGCAAAACACUGAAAUAGGCAAAAAAGCAGCAAUAUGGGUUGGGCCUCCGGUUAAUAGGUUAGUCCCAAAAAUAAUAUAAAAGUGUAAAAUAAAGCCCAUUAACAUCCACAACAGAUAAUAUAAUAGCAUGGAACAAUCACAAAUUAUAGAUACGUUGGAGACGUAUCAGGGGGGCACGCCCAGGGGGGGUGGGCGCACUCCGCACCCUCGUGGACAGGGUGUGGGCCCCCUUGCAUUGAUUCUUUCGCCAGUAUUUUUUAUAUAUUCCAAAAAUAUUCUCCGUUGAUUUUCAGGUCAUUCCGAGAACUUUUAUUUCUGCACAAAAAUAUCACCAUGGCAAUUAUGUUGAAAACAACGUCAGUCCGGGUUAGUUCCAUUCAAAUCAUUCAAGUUAGAGUCCAAAAAAAGGGAGAAAGUGUUUGAAAAAGUAGAUAUGUUGGAGACAUAUCACUCCUCACGACAACACGGUUGGGAUUGGCCUUUUCGGUUAUGAAGAAGCAUUGUGUCACGUGCUUAGUGUGUACCCAUGGCUCAUUUUUGGCGAUGACGUUAACGUUCAUGGGAGUGCUCUUCGCGUCGGGUAUAGACAUGGUGGUGAAAUAAUUGUUUUCUCUUACAAUGUCCUUGGCCCAUCUGACACAGAACAUUGUCGCAUCAUGCAUUCCAGCAUAGUCAAGCUCCCAGAUCUCUUCGACCCUUCCGUAGAAUCUUUCAAUUGUGUCGUUGGCAUCGGUCACACAUUGAAUUGACACCCCGGAGUUCUGGUAAUCACUGUCCAUGUGUUUGGCCUCCGUGCACAACAUGUACCCAUUGAUAUCGUUGGACUGAUAGGUCGCGAGCUUGCGCACGGGGCCAUGUGCUAAGGCGUGUAUGAGCAAUCCGUCCGAACUGCCCUCUUUCGGGGGAUUUUCAAGAACUUGCUCUUUAAACCAAUGCAAGAAAGUGGCGUUGUGCUCUACAGUAACUUCGUCGUCCGUAUUGAGCAUCCCCUUAUCACGACACUUCUUUGCGAUGGUUUCUUUGUGUUGUGCCACAUAAUCAUCUACCACAUCUAGGUGUUGUGGCACUACUAAGUUAGCCCUGUCAAAGUCGUUCUGUCCAUCCGAGUAGCCCAUGUGCAAUUCUCUCCCGUCGUUGUUGUGACCAUCUCCUUCGAGCUUCCCAUCGUGCUUCUUGACGGGCAAACCAACAACAGGGUCUUCGACGCUUAUAUAAUUCUCGCAAAAGGAGACGCACUCAUGCAUCAGAUACCCUUGGACAAUGCUCCCUUCGGGACGGGACAUGUUACGAAUGAAUCCUUUGAUGACCCCAUUCAUCCACUCGAACGGCAUCAUGUUGUGAAGGAAUGUCGGUCUGAGGUCGAUGAUGUCGUCCACGAUGUGGACACACAGAUGCACCAUGACGUCAUAGAACGCGGGCGGGAAGUACAUCUCAAGCUCACAUAGUAUGACAACAAUCUCUUCCUGUAGCCUUUGGAGCUGCUUCACACUUAUGGACUAUCGAGAUAUAAGGUCGAAGAAGUUGCAGAGACCAGUAAGCAUGUCAUGGACGUGCUUGUCCAUUAUCCCUCUAAUGGCAACCGGUAGUAUCUGCGUCAUCAUCACGUGACAGUCAUGAGACUUCAUCCCGCUGAUCCUUUUCUUCUUGGGGUCUAGAAAUCUGCUUAUCUUCCCACAGUAACCGGAACUGACUUUGAUUCCCAUAGGGCACUUGAUGAAUUGAUCGAUCUCCUUCACACUUAAGGUGAAGCAAGAAGGGGGAAAUAAUUCUCCUCGUUCUUGUUGACUUUUCUGCCCCUUUCCCCCUCCUCCAUCUCUAUCUCCGUCCCCUCCAUCAACUUUUUACGGUGGAGAUCUUUCCUGAUCUUCAAUUCUUCCAAGUCUUUCCUUGCCUUCGUCCCAUCCUUGGUCUUCUCCGGCAUGUUCAUCAGUGUGCCAAGAAAGCUCUUGAGGACAUUCUUCGUGAUAUGCAUUUGAUCAAGGCAACGAGGCGUGUCGUGAUUGGGCCAGAACUCCAAGUCCUAGAAAACAGACCUCGUUUUCCAUACCUUCAGCAGCUGCUCCGGCGCCUUUUUGAUCUUUCCCGGCGCAGGGCAUUGUUCCCAGUUUCUCAAUAGCUCAUUGAUUUCGGCGCUGCUCCUCUUACGUGGAGGUCCUCGAAGCUGAGCCAACCCAUUGAAUAGUUCUCCAUGCUUUCUCCACGGGUCAUCCUUCUCGAUCCAUCUAUGAUGUCCCAUGUAUAUGAUUUUCCCGGACCCGCCAUCUUUCAUUGAAGUAAGCUGCUGAGACGUUGUAUCAUCCAUGCACCUCGUAACCGAGAUAGUCAUGCACCAUCAUCAUCAGCGCGACUCUCAUAUGGAAAUAUUCUCCUUUGCUGGCGGCCCAUGUCCAUGCCGGUGUUUUCCAUAACGUGUCUAGCUCCUCUUGCAGAAGCCCCAUAUACAGGUUAAUACUAUUUCCCGGUUGUUUCGGCCCUUGAAUCAGCAUGCUCAUGUCUAUGUACUUUGUCUUCAUGCACUUCCAUGGGGGAGGUUGUACAUCCAUACAAACACGGGCCAUGUGCUCUGGUUCGUGUUCUGGUUUCCAAACGGAUUCAUGCCAUCGGUACUCGCACCAAGCACGAUGUUCCUUGGAUCUUCUGCAGCAAAUCCAUAUAUGGCGUUGAAUGCUCUCCACUGGCUACCAUCUAUGAGGUGUCUCAGCCUCGGAUCAUCUCCAUCAUCAGGUUUCUUCCUCUCCGUGCGCCAGCGCUUGAGCUUUGCUUCCUUAGGAUCUACAAAAUACCGCUGCAGACGGGGAGUGAUCGGAAAGUACCGUACAACUUUCUGAGGAGGUUUCUUUCUUGCCUUCUUGUAUCGAGAAGCAUUGCACACUGGACAGCUGGUUUUUUCCGUGUGCUCACCCCGAUAAAUGACGCAACCGUCGAUGCAUGCGUGGUACCUAAUGUGCGGCAAAUUAAAAGGGCAAACGAUUUUCUUGGCCUCCUCGACACUAGUAGGACACAGGUUCCCCGUGGGAAGAACUUUAUUAUGUAGAUAUUUCAAAUGCUCAUUGAGGCUUUUAUCUGUCCAUUUGUUUUUGGCCUUCAUCUUUAGAAGUUCGAGCAUGAAACUCAAGCGGGUCACCUCAGGAUCGCAACCGUCAUACAAUGGAGUCCUCGAGUCUACUUCAAGUUGCGCCAGCUUGGCCUCCUCUCUAGAAGCAGCUCUCUCGCUAGUCGCACUCUUGCGAAGGAGGUCUUGAACAUGAGGGUCCUGCACGAUUGCACUUAUUAGCAUCGAAGACUGCGGCGUGACCGCCGCCUCUACUCCGCCAUGUCUGGACUCUUCUUCGUCGUGUCUGGAAUCUUCUCCGAUGCCGUCAUUUCCGAACUCUUUCCCGCCGACAUGUCCGGCGCCAUCAUCUUCAUGUCGAUCGGUCAUCUCUUCGUCUGGCCCCAUGUCGUUAUUCCCUGCCAUGUGGACGUCCUCAUCAUCAUCUUAUUCACUUAGCCACUGAGUAUAGCCAUCCAUGAAACCAUUCAUCAGCAGGUGCGCCUUCAAAGUGCCAUGAUCAAAAGGGUCCAAAAGGACUCCUUCCUAGCAUCUUGCACACGAACAUCUAAUCCUAGUCCGAUUAUUGGCAUACAUGUCCAUCACCGCGGAUUGCAUGUACCGCUCCACCUUCCAUCCACUCGCCUUCAUGACCGACUGCACGNNNNNNNNNNNNNNNNNNNNNNNNNNNNNNNNNNNNNNNNNNNNNNNNNNNNNNNNNNNNNNNNNNNNNNNNNNNNNNNNNNNNNNNNNNNNNNNNNNNNNNNNNNNNNNNNNNNNNNNNNNNNNNNNNNNNNNNNNNNNNNNNNNNNNNNNNNNNNNNNNNNNNNNNNNNNNNNNNNNNNNNNNNNNNNNNNNNNNNNNNNNNNNNNNNNNNNNNNNNNNNNNNNNNNNNNNNNNNNNNNNNNNNNNNNNNNNNNNNNNNNNNNNNNNNNNNNNNNNNNNNNNNNNNNNNNNNNNNNNNNNNNNNNNNNNNNNNNNNNNNNNNNNNNNNNNNNNNNNNNNNNNNNNNNNNNNNNNNNNNNNNNNNNNNNNNNNNNNNNNNNNNNNNNNNNNNNNNNNNNNNNNNNNNNNNNNNNNNNNNNNNNNNNNNNNNNNNNNNNNNNNNNNNNNNNNNNNNNNNNNNNNNNNNNNNNNNNNNNNNNNNNNNNNNNNNNNNNNNNNNNNNNNNNNNNNNNNNNNNNNNNNNNNNNNNNNNNNNNNNNNNNNNNNNNNNNNNNNNNNNNNNNNNNNNNNNNNNNNNNNNNNNNNNNNNNNNNNNNNNNNNNNNNNNNNNNNNNNNNNNNNNNNNNNNNNNNNNNNNNNNNNNNNNNNNNNNNNNNNNNNNNNNNNNNNNNNNNNNNNNNNNNNNNNNNNNNNNNNNNNNNNNNNNNNNNNNNNNNNNNNNNNNNNNNNNNNNNNNNNNNNNNNNNNNNNNNNNNNNNNNNNNNNNNNNNNNNNNNNNNNNNNNNNNNNNNNNNNNNNNNNNNNNNNNNNNNNNNNNNNNNNNNNNNNNNNNNNNNNNNNNNNNNNNNNNNNNNNNNNNNNNNNNNNNNNNNNNNNNNNNNNNNNNNNNNNNNNNNNNNNNNNNNNNNNNNNNNNNNNNNNNNNNNNNNNNNNNNNNNNNNNNNNNNNNNNNNNNNNNNNNNNNNNNNNNNNNNNNNNNNNNNNNNNNNNNNNNNNNNNNNNNNNNNNNNNNNNNNNNNNNNNNNNNNNNNNNNNNNNNNNNNNNNNNNNNNNNNNNNNNNNNNNNNNNNNNNNNNNNNNNNNNNNNNNNNNNNNNNNNNNNNNNNNNNNNNNNNNNNNNNNNNNNNNNNNNNNNNNNNNNNNNNNNNNNNNNNNNNNNNNNNNNNNNNNNNNNNNNNNNNNNNNNNNNNNNNNNNNNNNNNNNNNNNNNNNNNNNNNNNNNNNNNNNNNNNNNNNNNNNNNNNNNNNNNNNNNNNNNNNNNNNNNNNNNNNNNNNNNNNNNNNNNNNNNNNNNNNNNNNNNNNNNNNNNNNNNNNNNNNNNNNNNNNNNNNNNNNNNNNNNNNNNNNNNNNNNNNNNNNNNNNNNNNNNNNNNNNNNNNNNNNNNNNNNNNNNNNNNNNNNNNNNNNNNNNNNNNNNNNNNNNNNNNNNNNNNNNNNNNNNNNNNNNNNNNNNNNNNNNNNNNNNNNNNNNNNNNNNNNNNNNNNNNNNNNNNNNNNNNNNNNNNNNNNNNNNNNNNNNNNNNNNNNNNNNNNNNNNNNNNNNNNNNNNNNNNNNNNNNNNNNNNNNNNNNNNNNNNNNNNNNNNNNNNNNNNNNNNNNNNNNNNNNNNNNNNNNNNNNNNNNNNNNNNNNNNNNNNNNNNNNNNNNNNNNNNNNNNNNNNNNNNNNNNNNNNNNNNNNNNNNNNNNNNNNNNNNNNNNNNNNNNNNNNNNNNNNNNNNNNNNNNNNNNNNNNNNNNNNNNNNNNNNNNNNNNNNNNNNNNNNNNNNNNNNNNNNNNNNNNNNNNNNNNNNNNNNNNNNNNNNNNNNNNNNNNNNNNNNNNNNNNNNNNNNNNNNNNNNNNNNNNNNNNNNNNNNNNNNNNNNNNNNNNNNNNNNNNNNNNNNNNNNNNNNNNNNNNNNNNNNNNNNNNNNNNNNNNNNNNNNNNNNNNNNNNNNNNNNNNNNNNNNNNNNNNNNNNNNNNNNNNNNNNNNNNNNNNNNNNNNNNNNNNNNNNNNNNNNNNNNNNNNNNNNNCAUAUUCUCAUUCACACACAUAUUCCCAUUCUUGAAAUGAACAACUUUUUACUCACCUAUAUAUAUAGCAUUAUUCUGAUCCCAGGAUCAGAAUAGUUAUUUGGAUCACGAUCGGCUAUAAGGGCCCGACAGUAGAUCGUGAGGAACCCACCAGAUCCCGAUCGGUACAAGGGAAAAAACACCACCCACCCGCUCCCCACAGCCCACUCCCCUUCCCUAACCUCUCCCGAUCUCACCACCGCCUCCCUGCCCGCGCUGCCAUUGGCCCGCACCAGAUCGCCUCGGCACAGCCGCCGCCCUCACUAGAUCGCCCCGCCACAGCCGCCGCCCUCACCAGAUCGCCCCGCCACCGCGGUCUCCCUCCUCGGUCGUGCCACCACCAUAGUUUCCCUCCCCAAAUCAUGCCACAGCUGCCACCUCCGGCCUCCUCUGCACAACACCCCUGCUCCUUGACCUUCGUGCGCGGCAUUGCGCCGUAACCGCCGCCGCCAUCCAACCCCAAACGCCAUUAACCUGGGCGCCCCCCUCCCGCUUGCUCCGACGCGGAUCCGGUCAACCCCGCAACUCUCCCCUCCGGUGAGCAUCCUCUUCUCCUUCUCUACCUACGGCGUCCCACCCCUUCCCUCACCUCCUUCCGUGUCCGCGGCAGCACACAAAGCCGUUCAACCCCACUGCCUCGGGCCGUUCAACGAUGCGGCACCAGGACGUUCAACCCCACUUCCAGGAUGCUCCGACGAGGCCGAGAUCUUUCCUCUGUUCACCCAACUCUCUCUCAGGGAGGAUUUGAACUUCUUUGAAUUUGAAAGAAAAUUGCUUGCAAUUUUUUUUUCUGUAUAUUUGGUUUCUGAAAAAUGCACUUGGAUGUGAUGGAUGAAAUUAGUUUGAGCAUAGUUGAACUACAGUUUGUUUACAAAAAGUUGUGAAAAUUGCAGGUUUGUUCGAAGCUGACGGCGCUCCAUAUGUGCAGCAGCACCGCUGCCGCUACAGCUAAUCAGCCACUGCUUGUCAGUACAGUUGCUGGCCCAUGCAUUACACACUUAAAAAGUGAUUCGUGGUGCCACCAAGAACCAUACAUCUGCAUGUUCUUAGCACUUCUUUCUCUCUCUCUAAUUAGUUCUCAGUGGAGGUAGUGCAUCAUCUGCCUUGUGUCAACUUGUUCAAACAGGUAUUAAUCUUGUGUACUAACCGAUUUAAUGGCCAAGUUUUUGUCUGGAUGUGAUGCUACUAAUCUAAUAUUUGAAAAGCUUUCCCAUAAGAUGAAUGUGUGGGUGGGGAUCCUCUGGCCGCACGACAACCACCAAACCCGCGUCGCAAGCCGCUGGGAUCCUGCCUCCAUGCAACCUUACUCCACAUGUUAUCGUGACCUUCCUCUACUUGCCGCCGUGACCAGCAGCGGCCAUGACCCUCCAAGCGCCGGCGCAGCUACACUCCACCGCUGUCGGUGGGCCGCCAACCACCACCACCUCAUACAACCCGAUAGCUCCCUCCACAAACUAGCGCCGCCUGCCCCCACUACAUCUGCCACCUCCUGUAGUCUCUGCACAGCGGCGGCACCUUCCCAUGUUGUAUACCCGCAUCCUCUACCUUCGUCUACAAGCGUCUCAAUCCCCAGCAACACCCCUGUCUGUGCAGAAUGCUUUUGUUCUUCAGUUUGGGAAGAUUUGAACUUCUGAAGAAACUUUAUUGAGAAACGACACCCACCAUCUUGGCAUUAAUCAAAUCCAGGUGAAAAAAUGAAGUAUUGCAUCAACAGAAAAGCAGACUACAAAAAAGAUAUUAUUUUGAAUGUGAACCUGCGUGCAUUAUAUAGAAAUUAUGGAUGUUACUUCUGUGGUACUCAUCUUACCAUACACGUACAAACACAUGUUACUCUUAUAGUACUCAUCUUCCCAUACAGGUACAGAAUAGAUGCAGAGAAAAUAGUAUGUGAAUACUGGUACAAACUCCAUUUUGCAUUAUUCUUGCCGUAGAUGACGGAUUGUUUGCUUUCAGGACUUGAAUCUUGGUUUUAUUGAGAAGGUGGCUUGUCGGAUGUUGUCGCCAUGGAUGACGACGGUGAUCUCGUUCUCAAUCGGAGAAUGAAGAGACACUGUAAGGUGUUUGUUUUGUGGCUAUAUUUCCGUUGUUGGUGUGUUACGAAUUUGAUUGAUGUUCCUUGGUUUGCAGGGAGAAGGGACGAGGAUCAUGUCCUCACCGUGCAGCAUGGCGUCACCUCUUCGCUCCGGAGCGUCGGUCUUCUUGCGGGAGAGCAUUCAGUGUCGGAUUUCCUACUAUGUAUCGUCCUUCUUUCAUUUGUGGUCCAUUGUUUUCUAUUGUUGGUUUACAGGUUUGGAAGGCAGCCAUGCUGCUAACCUGACUUUGUGUUGCACAAGAGCUUCACGUCGUCUGAAUGCGACGGUGUUACUGCCAUGGAGAUCGGUGUUGGGAUAGGUGAUGGCUUGCUAUGAAAUUUAGUGAAUGAGAAAAUUGACUUAUUGCUGUGCUUGUACAACUGUGUAAUUUUUCUGAUUUUUUAUUUGUUUUUGUGAAGGUCAAAAUGUUGUGUCCGAGAAGUUCAAGUAUGUUAGUUUAUAUUGUAUUAUUGAGAAGCUCCAACUUGUUGUAGGAGUGCAUUGAGAAACAGAGUGAAAAUAUCUAUAAAAAUGUAAGUUCGGGAGGAUUAAAAAGGAAAAGGAAGAAAGAAAAAGCUCACACUUUUGUCGUUGAUAUUUACAGUGACAAAUAAGCAACAAGUUCAUGUUUGUCAACCAUUGAAGUUCAUGUAUAUGGUAGUUGAUGAUUGUUGUGUGCACUUAGGGGAGCACAAAAAAAUGCGGCUGGCCAAGGUCCGUGGAUGUUGAACUUUCGUUCAGUGAGUGGCGUGUGUCUCAAAAACAAAUUGUGUUCACAAAAACAAAAACAAAAAAAGAUGCAAAAAAGAGACAAACCCAAGUAUUUUCGUAGGGAAAAUAAUGACAAGUUCAAAUUGUUCAAAUAUGGAAGCUCAAAAAUGUUAAAAAUAAAUCCAAAAAUUUCUAGUACUCUCCUCCCACCUAUUUUGUCUGGAUAUAAAAAUAUAGACCCUCUCUCUUGAAAACAAAAAAAAAACUAAGGAAUUUCACACACAAACUUAUAUGAAAGACCUAGAUAUGCAUGAAAAAGAAAUAAAAUCGUAAGUGUUCAACUUAAAAAUAAACUCAUGAAACUCAUUAUCGGGACAAACACAUUGGUUUUAUUGUCCACAUUUAUAAAAUAAAUAAUACAUAGUAAAAAUGUUGAGAAGUUCAAAUUAAAUUAAUGGGGUAGUUCGAUGUUUAAAACAUCUCAAAUUUUUUUCAUUACUAAAUAACAAAAAGUGAGAAGUUCAAACAAAAAAUAGAGCAAAUUAAAAUUUAUAAAAAGGGAUUUUCACUUUUUGUAAAUAAAAAACUCUAGAGUUCAAAUUUAAAUUACAGACCGGUUCAAUAUUUAUUAGAAAAAUAGAAUGUUUCCAUUACUAAAAGAAAUUAUCCAAGAAAUACAAAAUACAAAAAUAGAGUAGUUCAACAUUUAUUAAAACUUAGAUUUCCUUGUUACCAAAGAGAUAAUAUCGAGAAGUUCAAAUUAAAAUUAAUAAAAGUAUGAACUUCAAUUUUUAAAAGAUGUUUGAUGCUUAUUUAAAAACACUUUUUCCUAAUAAUAAAACUUAGAAGUUCAAAUUAAAAUAAUAGAGAAGUUCAAAGUUUAUAAAAAACUAAAAUAAAAUCUCAUUACGAAAGAAUAAAAUAAAGAAGUUCAAAAAAAGGAAGAACCAAAAAAUGUUUAAAUAGAAAUGUUUUGUUUAAAAAUAUAGAAGAAGUUCAAACUAAACUAACGAAGUGGCUUGAUGUUUAUUAAAUUAUCAACCAUGAAGUUCAAAAUUCAAAAAUAGUCAANNNNNNNNNNAAUGCAUAUAAAAAACCCAGGAUUCUCGUUAGUAAUGAAUAAAACCAAGAAUUUCAAUUGAAAAAACAGAGCAGUUUGAUAUUUAUUUAAACGAAUCAGAUUUUUCCACUUACUAAACAAUAAAACAAAUAAGUUCAAUUGGAAUAACAAAGAAGUUUGAUGUUCCUAAAAAACUCCAGUUUUCACAUUUCUAAAAAACACACAAAAUUCAAAUAAAAAAGUUAGAGCGGUUCGAUGUCUUUAAAAAACUCAUACUUUUUUGUUACUAAAGCAAAAUAGGGAGAAGUUCAAAUUGAAAACGGCCAGAAGUUCAUGUGCUGCAUGGUGUGUGUUUUCAUAUGAGAAAAUAGAAUAAAAAGUUAAAGUAUAAACACUGUUGGAAGUUCAGGUGCUCAGCACGGUGAAGUUCAAAAACUUCUUAUGAGAGAGGCAACCAACACUAUAUAUCAGUUGUGCAACUAUGAUGAACGGGUGAGAAAUUACGAACAAAAAAACAUGGUAGAAGUUCAAGUGUAAACAGCGGGAAGUGCGAUGAUUAUAGAAAACUUAGAUUUUUCCCGUUAUUAAAGAAUGAAAAAAAGAAGUUCAAAAAUGAAACAACAAGAAGUUUAACUUUUAAAAAUAGAGUGCUUCAAAAUUUCAUAAAAAGAUUAAAGAAAUAAAAUCAGGAACUCCACAUUAAAAGAUGAAGAAGUUCGAUGAUUAUAGAAAACUCAGAUUUUCCUCGUUAUUAAAGAUUGGAAACAAGAAGUUCAAAAAUAAAAAAUAGGAAGUUCAACUUUUAAAAAUAGAGCGCUUCAAAAUUUUAUAAAAAAGGAUUAAGAAAUUCAGAUAAAUAUUUAUAAAAAACUCAGAUAUUUUCACAUAACCGAGAGAAGUUCGAUUGAUAACUGCCAGAAGUUCACGUACUACACGGUGUGCAUUUUGUAUUAAAAAGGAAUAAAAAGGCAAAGAGUAAAAGUUGUGUUGUUAUAAGUGCAACUCCUCGGUCAAAGAAAGUUAAAAAAAUUAUUGUGAGAGGGGUUUGUACAAAAGGAGUAUCAUUUGUGUAACACUGACAAAUGGAUGAGAAAAUUACAAACGAAAAUACGUCACAGAAGUUCAACGUGAAAAUAGCAUGAAGUUCAACUACUACGCUGAAUGAAUUUCAGAUGAAAAAGUUUUAAAACCAUCGCGAGUAUGAAAAAACGAUCAACACGGUAAAGUUAUGUGCUUACAACAGCUUUCUAAUGGUAUACCACUUGCUCAAUUCCGAUGAGUUGAUGGAGAGUUACGAGCAGUGGAUGGAGACCUACAAGAAAAAAAAUCACAUGAAGAACAGAGUGAAGUUCAGGUACACGCGCCGAGAAGUUCAGGUUCUUCACGCGGUGCAUUUUCGAAGAAUCUGUUUCGCGAUAAAGGCAGAAUGAAUGAUCUCGCCGUUUUCGAAAUUACAGGAAAACGGCUAGGAAUUAGAGAAAACCAUCAACAUGGAAAAGUUUCACAUUUUCCGUAGCUUUUCAGAGGUAUAUUAUUUGCCUCAUUCCGAUAAAGUUUGUAGAAAUUAUGGGGAAAAUAUGUUUUUAUCCAUUUUCCAAAUUGACUUAAAACCGUAAGGAAUUAGGAGAAACAAUAUAUACAAAACAGUUUCGCAUUUGUUCAAGCUUUCCAACGCCAUAUCAUUUGCUGCAUUCGGACGCACGGUUAAGAAAUUAGCUCGAAAUUACGUACUCAGUAGGACUUUGACCAUUUUCUAAAUUACUCUUAAACCAUUCAAAAUUAGAAAAAAACUUUCAAGAUGAAAAAGUAGCACAUUUUCAUAAGCUUUCCAACGCCAUAUCAUAUGUCUCCAUUCGAUUAGCUGUUUAGAAACGACAUCGAAAAAACGAACUCAGUUGUUCGGUUUACGAAAUUUUAUGUUUUUCACAUUAUUCUUUAACCAUAGGGAAUUAGAGAAACCUUUCAACAUGUGGAAGGAGCAGUUUUGCAGCAGCUUUCCAAUGCCAUAUUAUAUGCCUCAUUCCGAUAAGCGGUUUAGAAAUGCGAUCAAAAAUACGAUUCACGUUUUUUGUGCGAAAAAAACGGUUUUCAAAACUGCUCUUAAACCGCUUAUAUUUUGCCAAAAAAUUUAAGUUGGGUCAUGAUAUUGGUGUCCAUAGCUUUCCAACGGUAUAUCGCAAGCCCCAUUUGGGCAAUGUUGGCGGAAGUUCAACCUAGUUCACAGGGAAGUUCAACGUACUACUAGCGGGGCAGGUCAGGUUGUGAUCAGAAUAUUAUUCUGAUCCCGUGAUCAGAAUAGUGUUUAUAUAUAUAUAUAUAUAUAUAUAUAUAUAUAUAUAUAUAUAUAUANNNNNNNNNNNNNNNNNNNNNNNNNNNNNNNNNNNNNNNNNNNNNNNNNNNNNNNNNNNNNNNNNNNNNNNNNNNNNNNNNNNNNNNNNNNNNNNNNNNNNNNNNNNNNNNNNNNNNNNNNNNNNNNNNNNNNNNNNNNNNNNNNNNNNNNNNNNNNNNNNNNNNNNNNNNNNNNNNNNNNNNNNNNNNNNNNNNNNNNNNNNNNNNNNNNNNNNNNNNNNNNNNNNNNNNNNNNNNNNNNNNNNNNNNNNNNNNNNNNNNNNNNNNNNNNNNNNNNNNNNNNNNNNNNNNNNNNNNNNNNNNNNNNNNNNNNNNNNNNNNNNNNNNNNNNNNNNNNNNNNNNNNNNNNNNNNNNNNNNNNNNNNNNNNNNNNNNNNNNNNNNNNNNNNNNNNNNNNNNNNNNNNNNNNNNNNNNNNNNNNNNNNNNNNNNNNNNNNNNNNNNNNNNNNNNNNNNNNNNNNNNNNNNNNNNNNNNNNNNNNNNNNNNNNNNNNNNNNNNNNNNNNNNNNNNNNNNNNNNNNNNNNNNNNNNNNNNNNNNNNNNNNNNNNNNNNNNNNNNNNNNNNNNNNNNNNNNNNNNNNNNNNNNNNNNNNNNNNNNNNNNNNNNNNNNNNNNNNNNNNNNNNNNNNNNNNNNNNNNNNNNNNNGCUGCUUAGCAAAAAGUGAUGCUACUAUGGGACUUAGUAGUAGCGCUGUCCAGGAAAAGCGCUACUACUAAGUGGGGCCCAUUAGUAGUAGCGGCACAGUCAAAUCAAGCGCUACUACUAAACUAUUAGUAGUAACGCUUGUUUCUGUACAGCGCUACAACUCCAGCGACCGUUGGUGGCCUCAUCUGGUCCCACAUAGUAGUAGCGGGUUUUUGCUUCCCAGCGCUACUACUACAGAGUUACUAGUAGCGCCUGCCAGGUAAAGCGCUACUACUAAAUAGCAACAACGGUUACUAUUUUAUAGCUCUACUACUAUUGUACUGUGUAUAACAUUUUCCUAGCAGUGCAUACUCACAAUGUCUGGGUACCAUAAUCACUUCACUCAGCUAGGAGUUAAUCUUUUGGAUGAUAGUGUCAGUGAUAGAGUUCUUGAAUCACUGCCACCAAGCUAUAAAGGCUUCGUGAUGAACAAUAAUAUGCAAGGGAUGAACAAGACGAUUCCCGAGCUCUUCGCAAUACUUAAGGUUGUGGAGGUAGAAAUCAAGAAGGAGCAACGAGUGUUGAUAGUUAACAAGACCACUAGUUUCAAGAAAAAGGGCAAAGGAAAGAAGGGGAACUUCAAGAAUAAUGGCAAGAAAGUUGCUACUCCCGAGAAGAAGCCCAAGUCUGGACCAGAGCCUAAAACUGAGUGCUUCUACUGCGAAGGGACUGGUCACUUGAAGCGGAACUGCCCCAAGUAUUUGGCGGAUAAGAAGGAUGGCAAAGUGAAGAAAGGUAUAUUUGAUAUACAUGUUAUUGAUGUGUACCUUACUAAUGCUCGUAGUAGCGCCUGGGUAUUUGAUACUGGUUCUGUUGCUCAUAUUUGCAACUCAAAAUAGGGGCUAUGGAUUAAACAAAGAUUGGCUAAGGACGAGGUGACGAUGCGCGUCGGAAAUGGUUCCAAGGUCGAUGUGAUCACCAUCGGCACGCUACUUCUACAUCUACCUUCGGGAUUAAUUUUAAACCUAAAUAAUUGUUAUUUGGUGCCAGCGUUGAGCAUGAACAUUAUAUCUGGAUCUUGUUGAUGCGGGACGAUUAUUCAUUUAAAUAAAAGAAUAAUGGUUGUUCUAUUUAUAUGAGUAAUAUCUUUUAUGGUCAUGCGCCCUUGAAGAGUGGUCUAUUUCGUUGAAUCUCGGUCGUAGUGAUACACAUAUUCAUAAUAUUGAUGCCAAAAGAUGCAAAGUUGAUAAUGAUAGAGCAACUAGACAUUUGUGGCACUGCUGUUUAGGUCAUAUUGGUGUAAAGCGCAUGAAGAAACUCCAUGCGGAUGGACUUUUGGAAUCACUUGAUUAUGAAUCAUUUCAUGCUUGCCAACCAUGCCUCAUGGGCAAGAUGACUAAGACUCAGUUCUCCGGAACAAUGGAGCGAGCAACUAACUUAUUGGAAAUAAUACAUACUGAUGUAUGUGGUUCCAUCAGUGUUGAGGCUCGCAGUCGGUAUCAUUAUGUUCUGACUUUCACAAAUGAUUUGAGUAGAUAUGGUAUAUCAACUUAAUGAAACACAAGUGUGAAACAUUUGAAAAGUUCAAAGAAUUUCAAAGUGAAGUAGAAAAUCAUCAUAACAAGAAAAUAAGGUUUCUAUGAUCUGAUCGCGGAGGCGAAUAUUUGAGUUACGAGUUUGGUCUUCAUUUAAAACAAUGUGGAAUAGUUUCGCAACUCACGCCACCUGGAACACCACAGCAUAAUGGUGUGUCCAAACGUCAUAACCGUAAUUUAUUAGAUAUGGUGCGAUCUAUGAUGUCUCUUACCAAUUUACCACUAUUGUUUUGGGGUUAUGCAUUAGAGACAGUGUCGGUGUAUGAUAACCCACAAGUAUAGGGGAUCGCAACAGUUUUCGAGGGUAGAGUAUUCAACCCAAAUUUAUUGAUUCGACACAAGGGGAGCCAAAGAAUAUUCUCAAGUAUUAGCAGCUGAGUUGUAAAUUCAACCACACCUGGAAACUUAACAUCUGCAGAAAAGUAUUUAGUAGCAAAGUAAUAUGAUAGUAGUGGUAACGGUAGCAAAAGGUAACGGUAACAAAAGUAAUAUUUUUGGUGUUUUGUAGUGAUGAUAACAAUAGCAACAGAAAAGUAAAUAAGCGAAGAACAAUAUAUGGAAAGACCGUAGGCAAUGGAUCGGUGAUAGAGAAUUAUGCCAGAUGUGGUUCAUCAUGUAACAGUCAUAACCUAGGGUGACACAGAACUAGCUCCAAUUCAUCAAUGUAAUGUAGGCAUGUAUUCCGAAUAGUCAUACGUGCUUACGGGAAAGAACUUGCAUGACAUCUUUUGUCCUACCCUCCCAUGGCAGCGGGGUCCGAGUGGAAACAAAGGGAUAUUAAGGCCUCCUUUUAAUAGAGUAUCUGACCAAAGUGUUAACACAUAGUGAAUACAUGAACUCCUCAAACUACGGUCAUCACCGGGAGUGGUCCCGAUUAUUGUCACUUCGGGGUUGCUGGAUCAUAACACAUAGUAGGUGAUCAUAGACUUGUGAGAUAGGAUCAAGAACUCACAUAUAUUCAUGAAAACAUAAUAAGUUCAGAUCUGAAAUCAUGGCAAUCGGGCCCUAAUGACAAGCAUUAAGCAUAGCAAAGUCAUAGCAACAUCAAUCUCAGAACAAAGUGGAUACUAGGGAUCAAACCCUACCAAAACUAACUCGAUUGCAUGAUAAAUCUCAUCCAACCCAUCAGCGUCCAGCAAGCCUACAAUGGAAUUACUCACGCACGGCAGUGAGCAUCAUGAAAUUGGUGAUGGAGGAAGGUUGAUGAUGACGAUGGCGACGGAUUCCCCUCUCCGGAGCCCCGAAUGGACUCCAGAUCAGCCCUCCCGAGAGAGUUUAGGGCUUGGCGGUGGCUCCGUAUUGUAAAACGCGAUGAAUCCUUCUUCUUUAUUUUUUCUCCCCGAACACGAAUAUAUGGAGUCAAGAUGGACGUUGGUGGAGCUCAAGGGGGCCCACGAGGCAGGGGGCGCGCCCAGGGGGGCAGGCGUGCCCCCACCCUCGUGGCUAUGGUGUGGGCCCCCUAGCCUUGAUUCUUUGCCAGUAUUUUUUAUUAUUUCCAAAAAUAAUCUCCGUGGAGUUUCAGGUCAUUCCGAGAAUUUUUUCUGCACAUAAAUAACACCAUGGCAAUUUUGCUGAAGACAGUGUCAGUCCGGGUAUUUCCAUUCAAAUCAUGCAAGUUAGAGUCCAAAACAAGGGCAAAAGUGUUUGGAAAAGUAGAUACGACAGAGACGUAUCAACUCCCCCAAGCUUAAACCUUUGCUUGUCCUCAAUCAAUUCAGUUGACAAACUGAAAGUGAUAGAGAAAAACUUUUACAAACUCUGUUUGCUCUUGUUGUUGUAAAUAUGUAAAGAGAACAUUCAAGUUUUUAGCAAAGAUUAUGAACUAACCAUAUUCACAAUAACUCUUAGGUCUCAUGUUUACUCAUAUCAAUAGCAUAGUCAACUAGCGAGCAAUAAUAAUAAAUCUUAGAUGACAACACUUUCUCAAAACAAUCAUAAUAUGAUAUAACAAGAUGGUAUCUCGCUAGCCCUUUCUGAGACUGCAAAACAUAAAUGUAGAGCACCUUUAAAGAUCAAGGACUGACUAGACAUUGUAAUUCAUUCUAAAAGAGAUGCAGUCAAGUCAUACUCAAUGUAAACUAACAGUAAUGAAUUCAAAUGACAGUGGUGCUCUCCAACUGGUGCUUUUUAAUAAGAGGAUGAUGACUCAACAUAAAAGUAAAUAGAUAGGCCCUUCGCAGAGGGAAGUAGGGAUUUGUAGAGGUGCCAGAGCUCGAUUUUGAAAUAGAGAUGAAUAAUAUUUUGAGCGGUAUACUUUCAUUGUCAACAUAACAACCAAGAGAUGGCGAUAUCUUCCAUGCUACACACAUAAUAGGCGGUUCCCAAACAGAAUGGUAAAGUUUAUACCCCCCUCCACCAACAAGCAUCAAUCCAUGGCUUGCUCGAAACAAUGAGUGCCUCCAACUAACAAGAGUCUCGGGGGAGUUUUGUUUGUAGUUAUUUUGAUUUUAUUUGCAUAAAGCAUGGGACUGGGCAUCCCGGUGACCAGCCAUUUUCUCGUGAGUGAGGAGCGGAGUCCACUCCUCUUGAGAAUAAUACACCUAACAUGGAAGAUACGGAUACAUGAGCUAUUCGAGCAUACAAAACAUGAUAUUUAUUUGAAGGUUUAGAGUUUGGCACAUACAAAUUUACUUGGAACGGCAGGUAGAUACCGCAUAUAGGUAGGUAUGGUGGACUCAUAUGGAGCAACUUUGGGAUUUAUGGGAUUGGAUGCACAAGCAGUAUUCUUGCUUAGUACAGGUGAAGGCUAGAAAAAGACUGGGAAGCGACCAACUAGAGAGCGACAACAGCCAUGAACAUGCAUUAAAAUUAAUCAACAUCGAAUGCAAGCAUGAGUAGGAUAUAAUGCACCAUGAACAUAAAUAUCGUAGAGGCUAUGUUGAUUUUGUUUAAACUACAUGCAUGAACAUGUGCCAAGUCAAGCCACUCGAAUCGUUCAAAAGAGGAGACCACCCUAUCAUACCACAUCACAACCAUUUUAAUAGCAUGUUGGCACGCAAGGUAAACCAUUAUAAGCUCCUAGCUAAUUAAGCAUGGCAUAAGCAACUAUAAUCUCUAAUUGUCAUUGCAAACAUGUUCAUUCAUAAUAGGCUGAAUCAGGAACGAUGAACUAAUCAUAUUUACAAAAACAAGAGAGGUCGAGUUCAUACCAGCUUCUCCCAUCUCAAUCAGUCCAUCAUAUAUCGUCAUAAUUGCCUUUCACUUGCAUGACCGAAUGAUGUGAGUAAUAAUAAUAGUGCACGAGCAUUGUACUAAGCUGGAAUCUGCAAGCAUUCAAUAAACAGGAGAAGACAAGGCAAUAUGGACUCUUUUGUUAGAUCAACAAUAAUGCAUAUAGGAGUCACACCAACAAUUUAAUCAUGGUCUUCUCCUAUCGACCCCCAAAGAAAAGAAAUAAAACUAUUUACACGGGAAAGCUCCCAACAAGCAUAAGAAGAACAGGAAAUAUUUUUGGGUGUUGUUUUUAAUUACUACUACAAGCAUAGAAAAUAAAGCUAGCUAAAAGCUACAACUAAUUUUUUUGUUUUUCUUAAGGUUUAUCAAACACACAAGAAGAAAGCAUAAAAAGGAAAUAAACUAGCAUGGAUAUUACAAUGAAAAAGUAUGAGCACCGACAUCUAGCAAUGAGUGUGUGAACAAGAAUGUAAUGUCGGUGAGAAGUACACACUCCCCUAGGCUUAGGCUUUUGGCCUAAGUUGGUCUAUGGCCACGGUUGGCCUGGCGGAUAUCCAAAUUAAUAGUUGGGGUCGUACCGCGAUGAAGCCUCGGCUUUCCACUGGUUGGCAAUCACCUCCGGAUCCUACUGGUAAUCAGACUGUCGUGGAGGCUCAAAUUGUGGUUUGGGUUCUGGCUCUGCAGCUGAUGUAGGGUUCCGGUAGGCGUGAAUGGCCUCCAACAGAACAAGGUACUUGCCUGCAGAUAAAUCAAACAAGGAAGGAGCAGGCAGGGUAAUAGUCUUGGGAUGAUGUUUAUCAAAGAACAAUUUGUAUUUAAGCUCAUUUUCUCUAUUCUUAACAAUAAAAUCAUGUGCUACCAUACUCUUAUAAUCUAAAUAAACAGGAGGCAGCAAUUUUUCUUCCUUCUCAUAAUGCCUAAUAGGUAUGUUAAAAUGUGUAGCUAGGCGCGAGGCGAAGAUGCCUCCAAAGACGGGGCCCUUAGUACGGUUAAGAUUUAACCGCUUUGCAAUAAUAGCACCCAUGCUGAAUGUAUCAUCACGAAAUAAGGCAUGGCACAAAAUAACAAUAUCAGGGGCACUCAGGUUUCCACAGUUUCCGCGCCCAAUUAAGCAUCUACUAGCAAGUAUAGCAAAGUAAUGUAGAACGGGAAAGUGUAUGCUAGUAGUUCGUGCAUCGGAAACCUUCCUUGUUUCCCCUACAGUGAUGGUAGCAAUAAACCCAUCCACAUCGUCAUGAUGAGGUUCCUCUAUGAUGCCCUCGAGAGGGAUCAAACAAACCCGACAAAAAUCAUGAAGUGACAUCUCCUUAUGCUCAUUAUAUAAAUAAAACUCCACUGUAGGUGGUGAGUUCCUAGCAUGGAAAUGAAAGUUUUGCACAAAGAUAUUGGUGCAUAAUAGAUAUUGUUCACGUUGGUCGUGGAGGAAGGCAGUGAGGCCUGCAUUCUCAGCUAUUCAUAGAAAUCAUCAUAAAUCCCGGCUGCUCUCAAGAAAUCAUCACAAGGCCAUUCACACGGCCGUACCUCCGUAGUGCGAGGGAGAUUAUACUUGGGUCUCUUAUCCUCCUCACUUUGCUUAUCCUUCGAGCUUCGGCCCGAUGAGCCCCUCAAAAAUCUCUUCAUUAUUUUCUAAAAAAAUCUGAAAUUUCUAGUAACUUCAAAAUAAAAGUGAACCAAACUCAACAAAAUUGAUAGCAACUACUCCUACAAGUGCCUAGAGCCUAUAUCAUGCAUUAGAACUACUUGGAACCAUAUAAAUUUUACAUGCAAGCUCAAGAACGUGGUCACCUAGGCAGCACAAAUUUGCAAUGAAUAAAGCACUAGAACAAAAACUAAUUGGAACAAUGGAGGAGUCACAUACCAAGGAACAAUCCCCCAAAGCAGUUUUGCGAGAAGUGCUUUGAGCAAGGAGAUCGAAAAUCACAGCAAAAUGAGCUAGAACUCGUGCUUGAGCUGGAUAGUGGUGUUUGUGGGAGGAAGAAGGAGUGUGUGGGUGCAGGGAUAAGUGGAGGGGAGCCACCAUGGGCCCACGAGGCAGGGGGCGCACCCAGGGGGGUGGGCGCGCCGUGGACCCUCGUGGCCAGGUGCUUGCUCCCCCUGUUGUGUUCUGAGUGCCAGAUAUUCUCAAAUAUUCCAGAAAAAAUCAUAUUAAACUGGCAGGGCAUUUGGAGAACUUUUUUUUCGUGGUAUUUUUAUAUUGCAUGGAUAAUCAGAAAAUAGAUAGAAAUUACUAUUUUUGCUUUAUUUAAUAUAAAUAACAAAAAGUAAAAAGAGGGUACAGAGAGUUGUGUUAUCUAAAUUCAUCCAUCUCAUGCUCAUCAAAAGGAAUCCACUAACAAGGUUGAUCAAGUCCUGUUAACAAACUCAUUCCGAGUAACAUGGAACCGGAGAAUUUUCGAAUUACACUAGGUUACCUCAAUGGGGAUAUGCACAUCCCCAACAAUAAGAAUAUCAUAUUUCUUCUUGACAGUACGAAGAGGAAAUUCAAAACCUCCAAAAAUAAUCGAUGGAAUUUUUUCGAUAGAGUUUAUACUGUGGACUUGAGGUUGUUUCCUUGGAAAGUGUACCGUAUGCUCAUUACCAUUAACAUGAAAAGUGACAUUGCCUUUGGUGCAAUCAAUAACAGCCCCUAUAGUAUUCAAAAAGGGUCUUCCAAGAAUAAUAGACAUACUAUCGUCCUCGGGAAUAUCAAGAAUAACAAAGUCCAUUAAAAUAAUAACGUUUGCAACCACAACAGGCACAUCCUCACAAAUACCGACAGGUAUAGCAGUUGAUUUAUCAGCCAUUUGCAACGAUAUUUCAGUAGGUGUUAACUUAUUCAAAUCAAGUCUAUGAUAUAAAGAGAGAGGCAUAACACUAACACCGGCCCCAAGAUCACAUAAAGCAGUUUUAACAUAGUUUCUUUUAAUGGAGCAUGGUAUAGUGGGUACUCCUAGAUCUCCUAACUUCUUAGGUAUUCCACCCUUAAAAGUAUAAUUAGCAAGCAUGGUGGAAAUCUCAGCUUCCGGUAUCUUUCUUUGAUUAGUGACAAUUUCUUUCAUAUACUUAGCAUAAGGAUUCAUUUUAAGCAUAUCAGUCAAACGCAUACGCAAAAAGAUAGGUCUAAUCAUUUCGGCAAAGCGCUCAAAAUCCUCAUCAUCCCUUUUCUUGGAUGGCUUAGGAGGAAAAGGCAGAGGUUUCUGAACCCAUGGUUCUCUUUCUUUACCAUUCUUCAUAGCAACAAAGUCUCUUUUAUCAUAAGUUGAUUCUUUGAUUGUGGGUUAUCAAGAUCAACAGCAGGUUCAAUCUCUACAUCAUUAUCAUUGCUAGGUUGAGCAUCAACAUGAACAUUAUCAUUAACAUUAUCACUAGUUUCAUGUUCAUUACCAUAUUGUGUUUUAGCAUUAGAAAUUGAAAUAUCAUUGGGAUUCUCAGGUGGUUCAGCAAUAGGUUCACUAGAAGCAUGCACAGUCGUAUCAUUUUUCUGUUUCUUCCUUUUAGAUGGACUAGGUGCAUCAAUAUUAUUUCUCUGAGAAUCUUGCUCAAUUCUCUUAGGAUGGCCUUCAGGAUACAAAGGUUCCUGAGUCAUUUUACCAGUUCUAGUAGCCACUCUAACAGCAUAGUCAUUAUUCUUACUAUUCAAUUCAUUGAGCAAAUCAUUUUGACCUUUAAGUACUUGUUCUACUUGAGUGGUAACCAUAGAAGCAUGUUUACUAAUGAUUUUAAGUUCACCUUUAACUCUAGACAUAUAAUCAACUAAGUGUUCAAUCAUUUAAGCAUUUUGUUUCAAUUGUCUACCAAAAUAAGCAUUGAAGUCUUCUUGCUUAACCAUAAAGUUAUCAAACUCAUCCAAACAUUGGCUAGAAAACUUAGUAGGAGGGAUUUCAGCUUUAUCAUAUCUAUAGAGAGAAUUUACCUUUACUACCUGUGUCGGGAUGUCAAGACCAUGUGUUUCUUUAAUAGGUGAUGGACUAAAACCAUAUAUUUCUUCAACAGGCAGUCAAUUAAGACCAUGUAUUUCUUUAAUAGGAGGUAAAUUCUUAACAUCUUCAGCUUUAAUACCCUUUUCUUUCAUGGAUUUAUUUGCCUCUUGCAUAUCUUCAGGACUGAUAAAUAGAACACCUCUUUUCUUCGGAGUUGGUUUAGGAAUAGGCUCAGGAGUUGGCUCAGGAGCUAGCUCAGGAAGUGUCCAAUUAUUUUCAUUUGUCAACAUAUUAUUCAAUAGAAUUUUAGCUUCAUCCGGUGUUCUUUCCCUGAAAACAAAACCAGCACAACUAUCCAAGUAAUCUCUGGAAGCAUCUGUUAGUCCAUUAUAAAAGAUAUCAAGUAUUUCAUUUUUCUUAAGAGGGUGAUCAGGCAAAUCAUUAAGUAAUUGGAGAAGCCUCCCCCAAGCUUGUGGGAGACUCUCUUCUUCAAUUUGCACAAAAUUAUAUAUAUCCCGUAAGGCAGCUUGUUUAUUAUGAGCAGGGAAAUAUUUAGCAGAGAAGUAAUAAAUCAUAUCCUGGGGACUACACGCACAACCAGGAUCAAGAGAAUUAAACCAUAUCUUAGCAUCACUCUUUAAUGAGAACAGAAAUAUUUCAAGGAUAUAAAAGUAGCGAGUUCUCUCAUCAUUAGUGAACAGGGUGGCUAUAUCAUUUAAUUUAGUAAGAUGUGCCACAACAGUUUCAGAUUCAUAGCCAUAAAAAGGAUCAGAUUCAACCAAAGUAAUUAUAUCAGGAUCAAUAGAGAAUUCAUAAUCCUUAUCAGUAACAAAGAUAGGUGAAGUAGCAUAAGCAGGAUCAUAUUUCAUUCUAGCAUUCAGAGCUUUUUGUUUAAGCUUAGCUAAUAAUUUCUUAAGAUCACUUCUAUCAUUGCAAGCAAGAAAAUCUCUUUCAGUUUCUUCAUCCAUAACAUAGCCCUCAGGCACAACAGGCAAUUAAUAUUUAUUAAGAGAGCCUUCAUCAUCAUUUUCAUCAAUAUUAUCAGUUUCAAUAAUUUCAUUCUCUAUAGCCCAAUCAAGUUGUUCAUCAAGAAAUUCACCAAGUGGCACAAUACUAUCAAGCAUAGAAGUACUUUCAUCAUAAGUAUCAUGUGUAGCAUAAGUGGCAUCAUCAAUAAUAUGCGACAUAUCAGAAUUAAUAGCAGAAGCAGGUUUAGGUGUCGCAAGCUUACUCAAAACAGAAGGUGAAUCAAUUGCAGAGCUAGAUGGCAGUUCCUUACCUCCCCUCAUAGUUGAGGGAUAAAUCUUGGUUUUUGGAUCUCUGAAGUUCUUCAUAAUGAUAAGCAGAUAUAAAUCCCAAGUGACUCAAAGAAUAGAGCUAUGCUCCCUGGCAACGGCGCCAGAAAAUGGUCUUGAUAACCCACAAGUAUAGGGGAUCGCAACAGUUUUCGAGGGUAGAGUAUUCAAACCAAAUUUAUUGAUUCGACACAAGGGGAGCCAAAGAAUAUUCUCAAGUAUUAGCAGCUGAGUUGUCAAUUCAACCACACCUAGAAACUUAAUAUCUGCAGCAAAGUAUUUAGUACCAAAGUAAUAUGAUAGUAGUGGUAACAGUAGCAAAAGGUAACGGUAACAAAAGUAAUAUUUUCGGUGUGUUGUAGUGAUGAUAACAAUAGCAACAGAAAAGUAAAUAAGCGAAGAACAAUAUAUGGAAAGCUUGUAGGCAAUGGAUCGGUGAUAGAGAAUUAUGCCGGAUGUGGUUCAUCAUGUAACAGUCAUAACCUAGGGUGACACAGAACUAGCUCCAAUUCAUCAAUGUAAUGUAGGCAUGUAUCCGAAUAUAGUCAUACGUGCUUAUGGAAAAGAACUUGCAUGACAUCUUUUGUCCUACCCUCCCGUAGCAGCGGGGUCCUAGUGGAAACUAAGGGAUAUUAAGGCCUCCUUUUAAUAGAGUACUGGAGAAAAGCAUUAACACAUAGUGAAUACUUGAACUCGUCAAACUACGGUCAUCACCGGGAGUGGUCCCGAUUAUUGUCACUUCAGGGUUGCCAGAUCAUAACACAUAGUAGGUGACUUGUAACACCCCGAACACACCCGCCGGUGGUCGUUACUCCUGGCGGGAUCUAGACUGGCCCCACAAAUCAAUACUAGUCUUUUCUGCGCACUUUUUCCUCACUCAUGCGCACCCGGGAGCAACUUCCCGGUCGGUCACCCAUCCUGACACUACUCCAAGCUGAGCACGCUUAACUUUGGAGUUCUGUCCGAAUGGGCUCCCGAAAAAGAAGGAAUUCCUUAUUGAUAUGAGUAGUCUAUCAUCCCUAAUAAGCCAGGCCAUCACAUACACCCCCAAUCAGAGGAACCGACGUCCUCGUCGGGCCACAGGAACGUUCCCUCUUGGCACAUACGUCUGUGCAUCCAGUCCGGUACAUGUGCCAUGCCGGGUGCCACGACGGGUCACAAACGUCAUGAACAACAUGACCGCACACCUAUCCGCAAACAUCUGUGUAACCGCGAGGGUUGGCUCUGAUACCAACUUGUAAUGCCCCGGACACACCCGCCGGUGGUCGUUACUCCUGGCGGGAUCUAGACUGGCCCCACAGAUCAAUACUAGUCUUUUCUGCGCACUUUGUCCUCACUCAUGCGCACCCGGGAGCAACUUCCCGGCCGGUCACCCAUCCUGACACUACUCCAAGCUGAGCACGCUUAACUUUGGAGUUUUGUCCGAAUGGGCUCCCGAAAAAGAAGGACUUCCUUAUUGAUAUGAGUAGUCUAUCAUCCCUAAUAAGCCAGGCCAUCACAUGACUAUAGACUUGCAAGAUAGGAUCAAGAACUCACAUAUAUUCAUGAAAACAUAAUAGGUUCAGAUCUGAAAUCAUGGCACUCGGGCCCUAGUGACAAGCAUUAAGCAUAGCAAAGUCAUAGCAACAUCAAUCUCAGAACAUAGUGGAUAAUAGGGAUCAAACCCUAACAAAACUAACUCGAUUACAUGAUAAAUCUCACCCAACCCAUCACCGUCCAGCAAGCCUACGAUGGAAUUACUCACUCACGGCGGUGAGCAUCAUGAAAGUGGUGAUGGAGGAAGGUUGAUGAUGACGAUGGGCCGGAUUCCCCUCUCCGAAGCCCCGAACGGACUCCAGAUCAGCCCUCCCGAGAGAGUUUAGGGCUUGGCGGCGGCUCUGUAUCGUAAAACGCGAUGAAUCCUUCUUCUUUAUUUUUUCUCCCCGAACACGAAUAUAUGGAGUCAAGAUGGAUGUCGGUGGAGCUCCAGGGGGCCCACGAGGCAGGGGGCGCGCCUAGGGGGGCAGGCACACCCCCACCCUCGUGGCUAAGCUGUGGACCCCCUGGCCUUGAUUAUUUGCCAGUAUUUUUUAUUAUUUCCAAAAACAAUAUCCGUGGAGUUUCAGGUCAUUCCGAUAACUUUUGUUUCUGCACAUAAAUAACACCAUGGCAAUUUUGCUGAAAACAGCGCCAGUACGGGUUAGUUGCAUUCAAAUCAUGCAAGUUAGAGUCCAAAACAAGGGCAAAAGUGUUUGGAAAAGUAGAUACGACGGAGACGUAUCAGUGUACAAAACUAGGGCUCUUCUUUUGACCCCUUUACUUGUGCAUGGGCAGUCAAAGCCGCGCGCGCCACGGCCACACUUAGUAGGGCAGAGGAGGGAAGCCAGAGAGAAGCCAAAACACGAGGCAACCAAGGCAACGCCAAGACCAGAAACGCAGGAGAGCAAGAGGGCAAGGUGGACUCCCUCGGCAAGAUCCUUGCCGAGGUAGCCUCCGUAGCCCCGGCAAGAGAUUUGCGGGGGCAACUUGCCCGAUGCCAGCGGAGUGAGCCACCCUUUAGCCCACAGGCUCCAACCCAACCAUCUACAUUGGAACCAAGGCUCGGGAGGCGCCUCUGUGGUGGCAUGCAAAUCUUUGUCAAGAUCAUAAACAUGUGAGAUCAGAUGAGGACCAGAAGACGGCGACCCUCGGCCGGAUCCUAGCCGAGGAAAUCCACAAGACCGCCGACAAGACCCUUGCCAAGGGCAUCCGCAGGGCCGCUGCCAGGCCCACGCCAGCCAAGACUCCACCACCGUCACCAAGCAGCUGCUAGCUCAACCAGUUGGGCAGGCACCUGCAUGGCGACGGGCAGCCUCUACACCGACUCAACAAGCACCCGCGUGGCGGCAUGCGACCCUUCAUGAAGGCUCCACAACCGCGCUAGCCCAGCAGCCAGCCAACAUGGCGCCAUGAUGCCACAUCAGCUCGGACGCGUGUCGAGACCAGGCGAGGCGGCGAGAGCUGGGACGUGGUUCCCUGGCGUCCCUGAUAAAGUAAGGAGGGCACGUCGGUAGUGCAUUAAAUGCGUUUGUCCGAUGGUCCCAGAGGAUAGCCUUGUUAACUGGAGACCUUUCCACCGUUUGUGUGCCACUGUGGCAACCCCUUUUUCCUAUAAAAGGAGGCCUAAGGCGACCAGGAGACGGAUUCGGCCCUUUUGGGCAAGUUGCACCACAUGGAUAGCCCAAUAACACAAGAACACUCUCAAAUACAUCCACCAAAGCAGGACUAGGGUAUUACGCAUCUUUGCGGCCCGAACCUGGGUAAACGAUCCAUGUGCUCCCUGUCAGACCCGCUCUUCGCACGACCUCGCGCCCGCCAACCAUAGAAGGGAUCCCAGUGACCCCAUAGGUGUCGUUUCCACCGACAUCUCUAGCGCGCCAGGUAGGGGGCGCAGUUGUGAAAAUAUGGUCUGGCAGUCAGCCUAGCGAUUCUUGAUCGUCAUGACUCCCAAGAAGAAGGCGGCCACGGCGGUCGGGUCAUCGGGAGCCGGACGGCCCGUACCGGUGCGGGCGAGCAGCGGGCCAGUCGCGGACAGAACCCGAGGCGCGACCUGCGAACACCAACAUCGCUCUGGCAGUCAGAGCCUGCCGAGCGGCGUCGUUCGUGCGCAAGGCGAUGAGCCGCAUGCCGCGAAAUCCAGAGACGGAGAUGGGCCCCCUGCAGGCGGCGUGGGACCCUCCGGGGGCGUCGCCGUACAACCCACGGGCGGUGCGGCAACCUCCAAGACUCCCACUCCGGUGCCCACAGCGCGCUCUUCCCAGGUUGUGCGCGACGAGCAGCGUCACCAUGCCGGUGACCCUCGACUCUGCCAUGGGGAGAGUCAUGUGCGUCAUUUGUGGAACGAAGGAGGUCAGCAUGCCCGCCGAAGUACUGGCGAAAAUGGCACACAGCUGCUAGGCCGUGACAGAGCUCCUUCUAACGUGCUUAGAAGUCGAAGCGCGCCACGGUCCAUGCAGCUUUCGCCGCCACCCAUGCCAGCAGAAGCUUUGGCACGUGCGCAGCUGCUCCUCGACUUCCCUCCUACCGCGGAAAUUCUUGACGAGUGGAGAGCCACUCUCCGGAGCCUCAUCGGCGUCGCCAACAAGGACGGGCCCCGGCCGAUAGGGCCCUCAGGCUGGCGCUCCAUCGACCCACUGCAGGACAGUGGUGGAGGGGCCGGAGGCGCCGCGGCUACGGUGCACUCUCCUCCUCCAUGCCAGCCACCGCGGAUGUCGGUCCGUCGUGAUGACGCUUGUGAUAACAUUUCCAUAGUGUCGUCCAAUCCACGGACCCACCGCGACCAACGCCAGGUCCUUCGGGAGCGAGCCCAUGAAGAUGCUCGAACCACCAUCGAGCGCCAACAUGAUACGCGCCACCGGUCAGACAGGCGGGCGGGGCCUGCUAUGCACCACCCAGCACCGGGAGGCUCCGGCAGCCUACCUUACGAGGUGGGUUGCCCAGCCUUUACCCAUGAGCUGUGGCGGUUCCAGUGGCCAUCCCACGGCACGUUCAAGCCCGACGUAGGUGAGAAGUACAAUGGCAAGACCCAUCCAUCAGAGUUCCUCAGCAUCUACACCAUCGCGAUGCAAGCUGCUAGAGCUCGUGAUGACAAGGUGCUUGCCUACUACUUUCCGUUGGCCCUGAAACCCAAUGUAAUGUCUUGGUUGAUCCACUUGCCGGUGGAUUCCAUUUCUUCUUGGUCGGACCUGUGUCAUUAGUUCGUUGGGGCCUUCACUGGAGGCCACCAAGCUCAUGGACAGGCGAAUGAUUUGCAUAUCAUUCCCCAGAAGGAAGGCGAAAACCUGUGCAAGUACAUACAGAGGUUCAACCGAGUGCAAUACAACAUCCCGGAUGUUGAUCCUGCCGCCGUGAUCAGCGCAUUCCAUCAGAAUGUGCGCAACCGCAAGAUGCGUGAAGAGCUGGCCAUGAACAAGGUCAAGGACGUGGCUAAACUUUACAUUCCGGCCGAUAGAUGCGCCCGGGCUGAAGAGGGAAGGAAGUGCUUAUACGUCUCCGUCGUAUCUAUAAUUUUUUAUUGUUCCAUGCCAAUAUUCUACAACUUUCAUAUACUUUUGGCAACCUUUUAUACUAUUUUUGGGACUAACAUAUUGAUUUAGUGCCCAGUGCCAGUUCCUGUUUGUUGCAUGUUUUUUGUUUCGCAGAAUAUCCAUAUCAAACGGAGUGCAAACGGGAUAAAAACUGGCGGUGAUUUUUUUGGAAUAUAUAUGACUUUUGGGAAGAAAAAUCCACGCAAGACGGUGCCCGAGGGGGCCACGACGCAGGGGGGCGCGCCCCUGACCCUCGUGGCCACCCCGUAAGGCGGUUGAUGCCCUUCUUUUGCCGCAAGAAAGCUAAUAUCUGGAUAGAGGUGUUAAAAUUUCAGCCCAAUCGGAGUUACGGAUCUCCGGGAAUAUAAGAAACGGUGAAAGGGAAGAAUCUGAGAACGCAGAAACAGAGAGAGACAGAGAGACAGAUCCAAUCACGGAGGGGCUCUCGCCCCUCCCACGCCAUGGAGGCCAUGGACCAGAGGGGAAACCCUUCUCCCAUCUAGGGAGGAGGUCAAGGAAGAAGAAGAAGGAGGGGGGCUCUCUCCCCCUCGCUUCCGGUGACACCGGAAUGCCACCGGGGGCCAUCAUCAUCACGCAAUCUUCACCAACAACUUCACCACCAUCAUCACCAACUCUUCCCCCCUCUAUGCAGUGGUGUAACCCCUCUCUUACCCAUUGUAAUCUCUACUUAAACAUGGUGCUCAAUUCUAUAUAUUAUUUCCCAAUGAUGUAUGGCUAUCCUAUGAUGUUUGAGUAGAUCCAUUUUGUCCUAUGGGCUAUUUGAUGAUCAAGAUUGUUUUGAGUUGCAUGUUUUAUUAUUGGUGUUGUCCUAUGGUGCUCUCCGUGUCGCAAAAGUGUGAGGGAUCCCCGCUGUAGGGUGUUGCAAUACGUUCAUGAUUCGUUUAUAUUGGGUUGCGUGAGUGACUGAAACACAAACCCGAGUAAGGGGGUUGUUGCGUAUGGGAUAAAGAGGACUUGAUACUUCAAUGCUAUGGUUGGGUUUUACCUUAAUGAUCUUUAGUAGUUGCGGAUGCUUGCUAGAGUUCCAAUCAUAAGUGCAUAUGAUCCACGUAGAGAAAGUGUGUUAGCUUAUGCCUCUCCCUCAUAUAAAUUUGAAAUAAUGAUUACCGGUCUAGUUAUUGAUUGCCUAGGGACAAAUAACUUUCUCGUAACAAAAAGCUCUUUACUAAACCUAACUUAGUUGUGUCUUUAUCUAAACAGUAACUUAGUUGUGUCUUUAUCUAAACAGCCCCUACUUUUUAUUUACUUUCUCUUUAUUAUCUUGCAUACCUAUCCAACAACACCUACAAAGUACUUCUAGUUUCAUACUUGUUCUAGGUAAAGCGAACGUCAAGCGUGCGUAGAGUUGUAUCGGUGGUCGAUAGAACUUGAGGGAAUAUUUGUUCUGCCUUUAGCUCCCCGUUGGGUUCGACACUCUUACUUAUCAAAAACUAUUGCGAUCCCCUAUACUUGUGGAUUAUCAAGACCUUUUUCUGGCACCGUUGCCGGGGAGCAAUAGCGUGGGGUGAAUAUUCUCGUGUGUGCUUAUUUGCUUUAUCACUAAGUAAUUUUUAUUUGCUUUUCUUAGUUGUUUUCUAUCUUUAGUUAUGGGUAGGAAACGCAAAAUACCAAAAAAAUAGUUGUACCUCCUAAACCAAUGGUUGAAGAACCACUCAAAAUCUAUCACACUACUGAAGCUUAUUACUUGGAUCAUCUUCGAUCCCUAUGUGCUCGUGCUGAAACCCCAACUAGCUUAGUUGAGGGAAAACCUUUAGAUGAGCAUGCUUGUUAUGUGCGACACCGAAUAUCUGAAAAAGGGAAAAUUUUACUGGGUCAAAUUCAUCGUUUGCAAUGCCAUGCUUGGAAUUUAUGCAAAAUAUAUGAUAUUACUUGUUGUUCUGAAAACCCUAAGAAACACCUUCCCUAUCAAUGUGAGUUUAGUGAUAAUGGAAUCGUAUCUUCGUAUGCUAAGGGUGUUUAUAGUUACUAUGAUGUUCAACAAAUUGAAGAAUUUGUUGCUUUUAAGGGUGCUUAUGAAAUUGCUUCUUCGAUUGAAACGUAUGAUGCUACUCUUUACAAAUCUGAAAAUUUUGACAUACUUAAAUAUUGCUAUGAUAAUUAUGCUUCUAAUGCCUAUGUUGAACCAUAUAUUGAGGACUACCCCGCUGUCCAAGAAGAGACUAAUAUUUUACAGGAGUCUAUGGAAGAAGAAAUUGAUGAAACUGUGAGCUCAUUGGAUGAAAAAGAUGAGGAGGAGAGCGAAGAACAAAAGGAGGAAGAGCAGAUUAGCUACCCGUGCCUACCUUCUAAUGAGAAUAACUCUUCAACUCAUACAUUGUUUAAUUUCCCUUCAUGCUUACCGAAGGAUGAUUGCUAUGAUGAUUGUUAUGAUCCCUUUGAUUCUCUUGAAAUAUCCCUUUUUGAUGAUGCUUGCUAUGCUAGUGGCCAAGAUGCCAAUAUGAAUUAUGCUUAUGGAGUUGAACUUGCUAUAGUUCCUUAUGUUAAACAUGAAAUUUUUGUUAUUGCACCCACACAUGAUAGUCCUAUUAUCUUUUUUAAUUCUCCCGACUACACUAUAUCAGAGAAGUUUGCCCUUAUUAAGGAUUAUAUUGAUGGGUUGCCUUUUACCGUUGCACAUGAUGAUUUUGAUAGAUAUAAUAUGCAUGUGCUUGCUGCUCCUACUUGCAAUUAUUAUGAUAGAGGAACUAUAUCUCCGCCUCUUUAUGUUUCCAAUACAACAAAAUUGCAAGAAACUGUUUAUACUAUGCAUUGGCCUUUACUAUGUGUGCAUGAAUUGUUAUUUUAUGACAUGCCGAUGCAUAGGAAGAGAGUUAGACUUCGUUGUUGCAUGAUAUAUGUUACUUUGUGCUCACUACUAAAUUACAAAUCAUUGUUAAUUAAAAUUGGCUUUGAUAUACCUUGGGAUCCGGGUGGAUUCAUUACUUAAGCACUAUAUGCCUAGCUUAAUGGCUUUAAAAAAAAGCGCUGCCAGGGAGACAACCCGGAAGUUUUAGAGAUUCAUUUAUUUCUAUUGAGUGCUUUCAUAUAGUUUAAAAAGAACAAAAAUAAAGAGGGGAACCCGAAACUUUUUCAAAAAGGAAAGUGAAAGUGAGAAAGACAAGCAUUGUUGAAGUGGGAGAGCUCCUUGAACUUUGUUCAUGUUCACGACAACUUUAUGAAUCUUGAUUACAAAAACUUUUCAAUAAAAAUAAUUAUCCCCUUUGUACAAUUCCAUUGUAUUAUAAAAAUAAUGUGCCAAGGUUUGCCUUUAGGAUGUUUACAUUUGCUUGAUGGUUUGUACGGUGUAGGACAGAAACUUUGGCUGUAGUGCGCGAUUUUUCAUUUUUAGCUGGAACGUCAAAUGGUUCUGAUUCUUUUUGCAAUGUCUUUCUAUGCAAAUUUUUAAUUUUUCCUAAUUUUGGUAGAAUUGUUAAAGUAUCAGAAGUAUGGUGAAUGUUCAGAUUAUUACAGACUGUUCUAUUUUAGACAGAUUCUGUUUUUGAUGCAUAGUUUGCUUGUUUUGAUGAAACUAUCGAUUUAUAUCAGUGGAUUAAGCCAUGGAAAAGGUAUAUUACAGUGGACACAAUGCAAAAACAAAAUAUGAAUUGGUUUGCAACAGUGCUUAGAGUAGUGAUUUGCUUUAUUAUACUAACAGAUCUUACCGAGUUUUCUGUUGAAGUUUUGUGUGGAUGAAGUGUUCGAUGAUCAAGAAGGUCUCAAUAUGAGAAGAAGGAAGAGAGGCAAGAGCUCAAGCUUGGGGAUGCCCGAGGCAACCCAUGUAAAUAUUCAAGGAGACUCAAGCGUCUAAGCUUGGGGAUGCCCCAAAAGGCAUCCCCUCUUUCUUCAACAAGUAUCGGUAUGUUUUCGGAUUCGUUUCGUUCAUGUGAUAUGUGCAAUCUUGGAGCGUCUUAUGCAUUUAGUUUUCAUUUUUAUUUUAUGCACCAUGCUGGUAUGAGAUAGUACUUGGUUGAUUUAUAGAAUGCUCUAUGCACUUCACUUAUAUCUUUUGAGUAUGGCUUUAUAGAAUGCUUCAUGUGCUUCACUUAUAUCAUUUGAAGUUUGGAUUGCCUGUUUCUCUUCACUUAGACAACCGCCAUUUGUAGAAUGCUCUUUUGCUUCACUUAUAUUUGUUAGAGCAUGGGCAUAUCUUUUGUAGAAAGAAUUAAACUCUCUUGUUUCACUUAUAUCUGUUUAGAGAGAUGACAGGAACUGGUCAUUCACAUGGUUAGUCAUAAAAUCCUACAUAAAACUUGUAGAUCAUUGAAUAUGAUAUGUUUGAUUCCUUGCAAUAGUUUUGCGAUAUAAAGAUGGUGAUAUUAGAGUCAUGCUAGUGGGUAGUUGUGGAUUAGUAGAAAUACUUGUGUUGAGGAUUGUGAUUCCCGUAGCAUGCACGUAUGGUGAACCGUUAUGUAACGAAGUCGGAGCAUGAGGUAUUUAUUGAUUGUCUUCCUUAUGAGUGGCGGUCGGGGAUGAGCGAUGGUCUUUUCCUACCAAUCUAUCCCCCUAGGGGCAUGCGUAGUAGUACUUUGCUUCGAGGGCUAAUAAACUUUUGCAAUAAGUAUGUGAGUUCUUUAUGACUAAUGUUGAGUCCAUGGAUUAUACGCACUCUCACCCUUCCAUCAUUACUAGCCUCUCUAGUAUCGCGCAAAUUUCACCGGUACCAUAAACCCACCAUAUACCUUCCUCAAAACAGCCACUAUACCUACCUAUCAUGGCAUUUCCAUAGCCAUUCCGAGAUAUAUUGCCAUGCAACUUCCAUCAUCAUCAUAUACAUGACUUGAGCAUCAUUGUCAUAUUGCUUUGCAUGAUCGUAAGAUAGCUAGCAUGAUGUUUUCAUGGCUUGUCCGUUUUUUGAUGUCAUUGCUACGCUAGAUCAUUGCAUAUCCCGGUACACCGCCGGAGGCAUUCAUAUAGAGUCAUAUCAUUGUUCUACUAUCGAUUUGUAAUAUUGAGUUGAAAGUAAAUAAAAGUGUGAUGAUCAUCAUUAAUAGAGCAUUGUCCUAAAAAAAGAGGCCAAAGAAGCCUAAAUAAAAAAAGGGGGCCAAAGAAGCCCAUCAAAAAAAAAGAAAAAGAAAAGGGGGCAAUGUUACUAUCCUUUUACCACACUUGUGCUUCAAAGUAGCACCAUAUUCUUCAUAUAGAGAGUCUCUUGAGUUAU